UUCCGGCUCCUGGCUUCCGCCGGGCCCUGGCCCCGCCCCUUACUUCCGGGUCCCAGGUGGCAUCCGGGCUUCCCGCUGGCCCGCAGGUGGACGCGGGUGCCAGGGCAGGCCGGGCUGGGUCUGCUCAGCCUCUCGGUCCCCAGGGAGGCACUUGAAUGCAGAGAAGGGGCUUCGUGCUCUGGGCUCAGCGCCAAGGCGAGCGCACGUGAGGGGAACGUGAGGCGGCCGCCGCCGAGGCCCCGUUUCCCAGGGGCAGCGAGUGGGGCCUGGUGUCAGCCUGCCUGGGAUCCCGUUGCCCGUCUGUCCCUCGCUGUGUAUCUGACCGCUGGGAGUCCGGCUUCGGGAGCAGGGUGUGGGGGAAGCCAGCGCGGUGACCUCCCCGGGAGGGGAUCCCAGUGAGGGGAGGCUUGUCGCCUCUGGAAGCCGCUGCGGCUUCCUCUUCCUGGUUCCUUUCCGUUGUUUAUUUAUAUUUUAAAUAUUCAUUUAUGGAUUCGAGGGGCAGCGUUAGAGGGGUCUGCAGUGGUUCACUCAGCUGGUUCAGGCCCUAAAUGGCCGCAGCUGCUGGAGCUGGGCCGAUCCGGAGCCAGGAGCCUCCGCCGGGUCUCCCACGCAGGUGCAGGGGCCCAAGGACUUGGGCCAUCCUCCACUGCUAUCCCAGGCCAUAGCGAAGAGCUGGAUCAGAAGAGGAGCAGCUGGGACUAGAACCAGCGCCCAGAGGGGUGCUGGUGCCACGGGGCGGGGAUUAACCUACUGCACUGCACUGCCAGCCUCCUCAUUUUUUUUUUUAAAGAAAUUUAUCUAAUUGAGCUGGCACAGUGGUGUAGUGGGAACACCCACUGCCGCCGUCCCAUAUGGGCACCAGUUCUAGUCCCAGCUGCUCCACUUCCUGUCCAGCUUCCUGCUAAUGAGCCUGGGAAAGCAGUGGAAGAGGGCCUGGGUGCUUGGGCGUCUGCGCCUCUGCCUCUCUGUAACUUUGCCUUUCAAAUAAGUAAAAUAAUUUUUUUUUUAAAGAGCCCAUCCACCCGCGCUCACUGCCCUGUUUUACACUUGGGGAAACAGAGGUUGGGUGUGGCCCUGGGUGCCCAGGGUGGAGAACAAAGCUGUUUCAGGCAGGCUUCUCCCCAGUGUCACAGCUCCAGCUCCGCGAGCCUUGCUCUGUCCAUCUGCACAAUGGGCACAGGGCGCUUUGGCUACAAGCGGAUGGGGGAGGGUGAUUCAGGCAGAGAGUCGCAGGCACGACACGCGAUGCAUGCGACGUGAGAGCGGCUCGGGCAGCAGGCUGGGCUAGGAGGGCUGAGUCCUUAGAGACAGGAGGCAGGGCCCAGAGCCUGUCGCUGCAGCCUGGUGCUGGGAGGCGUGGAGGGCUGAUGAGGAGGAAGAAUUGGCCACACCUGGAAACACUAAAACCUGCACCAUCUGAGUGGUGUGGCCCAUUGGGCGGGGCCGCAGGGCACGUCCCUGGCUGGCUGGCUUGGGGAAGGGGCUGGACAGUGGGAGUUGGGGGCUGGGGAGCAGGGUGACUGGUGGGGCAGGGACCGGACAGGUCGCUGUGGACGAGGUGAGCGUGAGAUGCCAGGGUCUCCCAGGCGGAACUGGACUCCAGGUGGCCACCUCAUCUGGAGCUCGGCGAGAAGACAGUGCUGGCGCCCUCUGUGUGCAGGUGAGAACUGAGGCUGGUAACGGGGUGUGGGCUUAGGGCCAGGCCUGGGAGAGGGGCUUGCAGCAGAGCAGCAGGAGCCAGAGAGGUGAGGAGAAAGCCUGGAGGGCUCGGGGUGAGCAACCCCACUGCUCCUCCGAGGCAUCAUGGGUCUAACAGGCGUCCACACAGAGGUCAGACAAAUCAGCCCUUAAGGGUGUUCAGGUGGCUUGCAAUACCCACGGUGGCCAGAAGGCGGCAGCACCACACCGAGAGACAUUUCCUGUAGCUGCAUUUCAUAACACUUUGCACAGGGGCUGUGUGCUGGACUCUGGGGUGAGCACUGGAGAUUUUACAUUCGUACCCAAAUUGUGUAUGUAUAUAUAUUCUCACGGAGCCUACGUUUUAGCCAAAGAGGCAGUUAAUUAUUAAUUAAUCUCGCAACUGGCAGUGAAGUCUCCAGACUCCAAAACUUGAUUGCUUUGGUUUAGAGAGGAGUCUUUCUGGAGUGUGUGACCCAUGCCCCGUCCUCCCUGAACAAGAGCUGAGCUCGCAUGGCAAUGUGAGGAGCAGGCUGGAACUUGCGUCGCCCCUGUCAGGAAGUGCAGGGGUGGGAGGUGGUCCCUGAAGAACCUCCAAGACCUCCCCCGUGAUAGAAGGAGUCAGCCUGGAACCCUGGAGGGGUCAGAGAAGUCACAAGGCGGGUCCAUCAAGGGGGAGGUGGCAGCGGGCCGGGUGGGGACACGGAGGGCUGCGCUGGCCUGGCAACUCCCUGAGGAAGGGAGGUGUCCCCAGCUUCCUCUCUGUCUUCUCCCCAGGCCCCAGCACCCUGCGCUUACUCCUGUUGCCCCUGACUCAUCUAGGGUGUAGACAGGGAAGCACUGCUGUGCUCGGGUGCCCUGGGGACACCACUCCCAGGCACCAUCCCUUGAUAAGGGUGACAUAACCCCCAGCCAGCUGCUUACGGUGCUCCCCGCCUGCAGAGGUUCUUGUCUUGGUGGUGUCCUGUCCAGGACCCUUUAGCAGCUCUUGUCACUCUCGCAUGAGAGCCAGUGCUGGGGCUGCAGGCCAAGCUCUCCCCGUGAAGAGCCCCCCUUCAGACUUGAGGGGAGAGGAGGAACAACUUUUCCCUUCUGGGAUGCACGGUUAGCAGUUAAGAUGCCCACAUUUCCUGUCACAGGGCCUGGGUUUGGGUCCCAGCGCGGGCUCCUCACUCCAGCUUCCUGCUAGUGCAGUCCCUGGGAGGUGGUGGUGAGGACUCAACUACUGGGGUCCCUGCCACUUAGAUGGGAGACCUGGAUUGAGUUCCAGACCCUCGGCUUUGUCUGCUCCCAGCCCCGGCUUAAGUGGGUGUUCAGGGAGCAAACUAGCAGAUGGGAACACACAUUCUGUGUGUGUGUGUGUGUGUGUCUGUCUGUGUCUGUCCGUCCGUCCGUCCGUCCGUGUCCGUCCCUCUCUCCCUCCUGCCCCCCCCCCCCCCAAAAAAAAAAAAAGAGAGCGGUCUUUGCAGAUUCCCUCCGCGGCCUGUGCUUCCUCCAUUUGCAGGUGCGUGGCAGAGAUGGGCUGAAGGACUGGCUCCGGGUUGGCUGCUGGUGUGUCUGGAGUCUGCGCUUCCCUCCAGAGCUGGGGCACUUGACUGGGAGGCAGUCUCCUUGCCUCUGGGGCUCUGGCCCGUUCUUUGAGGUUCUUUGAGACGGGAGAGCCUCUUGGAAAAUCUCGUCCUGAAGAAUGAUUUUGCACUUGUGAGAAUCCAGCAUGCCCUUCAGGGCACCAAGCUUGUUUUAAGCUAAAUAAUGCAAUGAAUAGCGGCUGCAGGGGAUCAACAGGCCCUCAGAGCCGUGCGCAUUUCCUUAGCGGGCUUAGCAGGACCUCCUGCCAAGUUACUGCUGGCAGAAAUGCCCUUUCUGGGAGAUUCACAGCCAGAAAAGAGGCCAGGUAACCUAAGACUCCGUGACCUCCAUUUGUUCUAUGGAAGUUCUCUUCCUUCCUCCUUACCAAGUGGGUUUACAAACCUCUGUUUUUGUUUCUGGGGAAGUUUCCUCAUCUGAAAUCUCCCUCACAUUAAUAAGUGUCGCCUUCUUGUCUGUUAAUCUCUCUGUCAGCAGUUAAUUUGAAUCUGCCCUGAACCUGCGUGGGUAGAGGAAAGACUUUUCCUCCCAACGCUUCUUCCCUUUGCCACCCACGAUUUUGAGUCUGGUACUGCACUUGAUCUUCCUGCCCUGCCAGCGAUACUGCAUGGCCAAGUUUCUUUCACUCUUUCCUUCCUUCUGGCUCAUGCAUCAACUAGAUCAGAAGAGACGGAAAACAGAGACCCUGUCGGAGACUUCGCAGAGUUCUUAGUGCAGGGUGGCAGAAUAACGAGGUUACUUAAAAAGUUCGUGGGAAAUGGAGUUACAAGGAAGCUUAUUUUGCUGCAGAAGGUUUUGCAACCCGUGCGUGGUUUUUCACAAUGGACGUUUUGAAGACGCUUCAUGUGCCGCCCCGAGACGUGCCACUUUGGCACAAGGUCUGUGUUGAGCUGAAAGCAACGAAGAAGCAGCAGAUGCCAGAAAGGCCGUCUGCUCUGCUCUGCUGUUUGCCUGAGAGCAGGACAUAACUUGCUGAAGGUGCCCCUCCUCCCCUCUCCCCAGGAAAGACCAAGACCGAAGACUGCUUUAGACCCCUGUCAGCCUGGGAGGGCACCAGCUGAACCCGUGACUGACUCCCUCACCAGCCUCGUCUGUCGCAUCUUCCCCACACAGGUGCCUUCCCAUGUGUUGCCCCUGGAGGCUUGAGGUCCUUUUUCUGUUUUUGUCUUGUCACCUCUCUGGAUGUGGGAACUCAAUUCCAGUGUCCUGCAUGGGUGGCCGAGAUCCAGUCACUUGAUCCUACACCUGUUGCCGCCUGUGCACUUUAGCAAGAAGCUGGAAUCAGAAGCAGAGCAGAACUCAGGCACUUCAGUGUGGGAUAUGGUCAUUUUAUUUUUACAGAGAUUUAUUUUAUUUAUUUGAGAGGUAGUUACAGACAGAGGGAGAGACAGAGAAAGGUGUUCCAUUUCCUGGUUCACUCUCCAAAUGGCUGCAGUGGCAGAGCUGGGCAGGUCCGGAGUUAGGAGCCAGGAGCUUCUUCCGGGUCUCUCACGUGGGUACAGGGGCCCAAGGACUUGGGCCAUCUUCCACUGCUUUCCUGGGCCAUUAGCAGGGAACUGGAUUGGAAAUGGAGCAGCCAGGACAUGAACCGGUGCCCAUAUGGGAUGCCGACGCUGAAGGUGGAGGCUUAUCCCCAGGAUGUGGUCAUUUUAGUUUAUGUCUUUAUCACUAGGCCAGAUGCCUGUGCCUAAGCCACCUCUUUGAGUUACUCUUCACUUGAAUUUUCUCAUAUAUGUGAAUGCUGCAGAAUUUAGAAUGGUGGAGAGAAAAUGAUUUUUCCUUCCCUACAUUACUUUUAUUUUUUUAAAUAUUUAUUUAUUUGAAAGGCAGAAAAAGCGAGAGGCAGAGGCAGAGGCAGAGAGAGAGGUCUUCCAUCUGCUGGUUCACUCCCCAAAUGGCAACAAUGGCUGGAGCUGGGCCAAUCCGAAGCCAGGAGCUGGGAGCUUCUUCCAGGUCUCCCAUGUGGGUACAGGGGCCCAAGGACUGGGGCCAUCUUCUGCUUUCCCAGGCCAAAGCAGGGGACUGGAUUGGAAGUGGAGCAUCUGGGACCCGAACUGGUGCCCACUGCACCUAUGUAGGAGACCCGGAAGAAGCUCUUAGCUCCUAAUUGGGGAGUGAACCAGAGGAUGGAAGACCUACCCCUCUCUCUCUCUCUCUCUCUCUCUCUCUCUGUGUGUCUCCUUCUUUCUCUGUGUAACUCUUUCAAAUAAAUAAAUCUUUAAAAACAAAACAAAACAAAAAAACAAAGUUAAUGGCCAGGAUGGUGGCAGAUGAAUUUGGCUUGUUUGCAUUCUGUCUGGUGUAAUUAUAUUUGAGUGCAAUGUGACACAACAGGUGGCUGAUUAUGAAGUGACUGGAAAAAAAUAAAUCACUAGCCUGCCUGGGCUGCCGUAGGCAGAUACCAUGGAUGGGUGGCUUAGACACCAGGCAUUUCCUUCUCCCAGUUCUGGGGGCUGCAAGCCUCAGACCAGUGUGCCUGCUCAUUCAGGCCGGGGAAUCCACUGGCUCACGUGACCUCAGGAGGAGGGGUUGUUAACCCUUCUAAAGACUACCUGGAGAGGUGAGGUCACCCUUCCCCCUGUCUGCCAGCAGCUUUAAGCUGUGAGUGGGUGUCUGCUGUCCGAGCGUGAGAGAGCGCUCAAGUGCUGCUGACACUGGGGAAACCCAGCUUCCAGGCCUCUUCCCAGCACGGAACUCACACGUUCCCGCUGACCGCCGGCCUCUGCAGCUUUCACGUGGGCAUAACCACCGAAGGGCCUGUCCUCGGUUUACAGGGGAGCCACUGUUCAGAUGCUCACUACUCACGGUGGACGGUGGCUGUGACAUCGCAUGGUGCGCUUCCAGCAGUAACUCAAACAGACACAUUUCCCUGCCCGCGUGGAGCUUACAUUCCUGUGGGGGAGAGAGGCAGCAUGAGGCCUAGGGUUGUGCUCACAGUUUCCACUCACUGCUGGUAGCUUUUUUUUUGGGGGGGGGGGGUGCCAGAAGUUUUUUAAGAUUCCUCGUGACUCCUGGUGUUCUGCAACUUGACCGUGAAGUGUGUACUUGUGUCUGUUUCCCACCCGGCCUGUUCAGCACUGGACAGGGUGUGUGGGGGCAGUUUCCCACGUGCACAGCGUGUCUUCAGUCACCUCCAGGAAUGAACUGAGCCCUGCACUUGUAAUCUGAGCGGGCCACUGCCAACCAGCAGACAUUUCUGCAAAAUUGACAGCGACAGUUGACAAGGACCAAGGUAAACAAAAAGAAAAAAAAAUUCCCAGCUGGGAUUGAGGGAACCGAAAGCUUUAAACUGCUGAUGGGUCUCGCUCUAAAUCAGUGACCACUGAAACCUCAAGUGGCCCUGAGUGCUGCCCAGCAGUCACCCUCCUCGUCUCCUCCCCGCUCCCCUAGACAAUGGUUUCCGGUCCUGCUGCCCUUCUCAGGCCUCCAGCGAAGCCUCGUCCGUGAAGACUGCCUUCACUCCUUACUCCCGCGAGAAGCAGCAGGAUCUGAAGGACCCUUCCAUGAGUGUGCACCCGCAGAUCACCCAGGCUGACCCAGCGCCCACACUCUCUGUGGUCCUCACUGUCACGAUGGAGUAACUAUGUCCCCUCUUCCUUGAGGCUGGCUCCUGGCUCCUGGAUCCUCCUCAAGGAAGCGACCAGGUCGCUCUGCUGAGUCCUGCUUCCCUGCCCGCUGCGGCACCAUUUCCAUCAGCAUGUAGACACAAUACCGUUUUUCACAUCUUAAAAAACAGCAACCCAGUGGAGGAUGGCCCAAGUCCUUGGGCCCUGCACCUGCAUGGGAGACCAGGAGAAGCACCUGGCUCCUGGCUUCGGAUCAGCGCAGAGUGCCUGCUGGUCGCAUUGCGCCGGCCGUAGUGGCCAUUGUGGGGUGAACCAAUGGAAAAGGAAGACCUUUCUCUCUCUCUCUCUCUCUCUCACUGUCCACUCUGCCUGUCAAAAAACAAGACAAAACAAAACAAAGCAAAAAAACAAAAAACAAACAAACAAAAAACAAUCAGCAACCCCACUCCAGCUACUGCCUUUGUGUCUUCAGCCUACGAAGAGGCUUCAAAACCUUCAGGGAAAAUGUGUGUCAUGAAAAAACUGUGCAAGGAUUUCACAAUGUUUUUACACCAAAAGAAACUCAUCUUUUAAUUCCAUUUGAAAUUGAAGUUCGCUUGUAUUUAUCUAUCCUUGUUGCCUCCAAUUUCUGAUCCCCCCUUCUCUGUUUAUCAGUGUUUUGCUCCCACAGUUCUGCAAAAGCAAAUCGUGUCAAGAUCCACAGUGAGCUCCUGAUAAAGCCCAGAGUUACUGCUCAGGCUUAAGUUCAUCUGGACACAGGAAUCACUCUGCUUGGCUUGAGACUGUCCUCACUUGGCUUCUAGCUCCGCCUGCUCCCUUGGCUCCCUGUCUGCCCACUGCUGCCUCUCCGAUGUUUACCCUCCCAGUAGUGGACUCUCCAUUUAGCAGUUCUUGGGCCUCUUCUCCUUAUCUUUGUGAGUUUUCUUUUUAAAGGUCAUCUGUUCGUGGUGUCUUUGACCCUAACUCUUCUCCUCUUACCUCAGGAUGCAUGUGUUUGAUUGCCUGUUGAAUAUCCUCUUCUCUCUCUCUCUCUCUCUCUCUCUCUCUUUUUUAAAAUAUUUAUUUAUUUAUCUGAAAGGCAGAGAGGCAGAGAGAGAGCGAGAGAGAGAGGUCUUGCAUCAGCUGGUUCACUCCCCAAAUGGCCACAAUGGCCGGAGCUAGGCCAAUCCAAAGCCAGGUGCCAGGAGCUUCUUUCGGGUCUCCUAUGCAAGUGCAGGGGCCCAAGGACUCAGGCUGUCUUCUACUGCUUUCCCAGGUCACAGUAGAGAGCUGGAUUGGAAGUGGAGCAGUUGAGCCGGCGCCGCGGCUCACUAGGCUAAUCCUCCACCUUGCGGCGCCGGCACACCGGGUUCUAGUCCCGGUCGGGGCGCCGGAUUCUGUCCCAGUUGCCCCUCUUCCAGGCCAGCUCUCUGCUGUGGCCCGGGAGUGCAGUGGAGGAUGGCCCAAGUCCUUGGGCCCUGCACCCCAUGGGAGACCAGGAUAAGUACCUGGCUCCUGCCAUCGGAUCAGCGCGAUGCGCUGGCCGCGGCGGCCAUUGGAGGGUGAACCAACGGCAAGAGGAAAGACCUUUCUCUCUGUCUCUCUCUCUCACUGUCCACUCUCUGCCUGUCAAAAAAAAAAAAGUGGAGCAGUUGGGACUUGAACUGGCACCCACAUGAGAUGCCUGCAUUGCAGGCAAUGGCUUUACCCACUACAGCACAGUGCCAGCCCCUGGAUAUCCCUUUUCAUACUCAUUGAUGAGCACAGGAAUCAUAUCUGUUCUUCACAUGAUGCAUCCCAUGCACUGUAUGUUGUAUAGUAUGUCUGUUAGAUAUUCAGUACUUGAGGUCGAAUAGUCACUUCACCUUGUUCAAGCUCUAAUCAUUUCACACCUGGCCCUCUGGAACAGCCCCUGCCUGCAGGAGGCAGCCUGUCCUGGCUUGCCUGAUAGUCUCCUGGUCUCUUUAUUUAUUAUUUUUGUUUGAAAAGAAGAGUUAGAGAGAGAGAGAGGAGAGAGCUCUUCCAUCUGCUGGUUCAUUCCCCAAAUGGCCACAAUGGCCUGGGCUGGACAAGGUUGAAGCGAGGAACCUGGGACUUCCUCCGGGUCUCCUAUGUGGGCAGCUGGGGCCCAAGCACUUGGGCCAACUUCCCUGCUUUCGCAGAUGCAUUAGCAGGGAGCUGGAUCGGAAGUGGAGCAGCUAGAUUUGAGCUGCUGCUCUUACGGGAUGCUGGCGUCACGGGCAGUGCCGUAACCUGCUGUGCCCCAAUGCUGGCCUCUGCUCUCCUGCUUUUCACACUAGAAGUCCAGUCUCAAGGAAAUUUCUCAGCCCUGGGAAACCAAGAGACUUGGUCUCUUCAGAUGAUUCCUUAUGUCUGUUCUCAGUGGAUCCAGGGUUACCCUUUUAGAAAGCAAAUUUUUAUUCACUGCUUCUCUGCUCAAAACCCUUCAGUGGCUUCCCACCACCCUAAUCAGAAAGAAAGCCUUCACUUUUAGGGGUCUACCAACUACAGGGUGUGCAGGCUUGCAGGCAAACAUUGUGUUACAGUUUGGAUAUUAGUUCAGGUGUCCCCCAAAAGCCAUGUUAAAAGCUUGGUUGCCCCCAGACUUGUGCUUGAUGGGUUAAUGUUAAUGGUGAUGAAUGAAGGUUGGAGACCUGAUCCGAUUAUGGUGUUGUUUAGGAGGUGGGUCUAGGAGGAGGUCCUUAGGCCAUUGAGGGCAUGAUCUCAGAAGGGUGUUCUUGCAAGAUCUGGGUUCACUGUAGCCUCUCUGCUUCCUGCCUCACCAUGUAACUGUUCCUCUGCACCUGAUCUGCCAUUGCCAGCCUUCAGGUGGACUGCUCAGUUGUGAGCAGGCUGAUACCGAGGUGUCUGUGGAACUUUCAACUGGCAAUGUCCAGAACUGCAGAGAGAAUCAAGCAUGUCUUUUGUUUGUUAAACAAGAACAGAUGGCCCUGGGAAACAUUGCAAGAAAGAACUCUAAGAAAUUAAAAAUAUUUGUUAAAUUGGAAAAAUUCAAUGUUGGACAGAAAGAUAAAAUUAUAGAAUUAAUUUCUGAGGACCCUAAUGAUAAUGUUGUAUAAAAUUUAGAAAUGUCUAAGUAAAUAUACAAUGUAUGUAUUGCAGCCGUAUGUCCCAAACACCCCAGAUCCUCAGUGUGCAUCUUCCUUACCGAGGACACUCCUCUGUAUAACCAGUGUAGUCCUCACAUCAGGAAAUGAGGAAUCAGCACUGGUAUAACACUAAUGUCUGAGCCAGGGAUUCCAUUCAUGGUUCACCAGCCGUCCCUGACAUGUCUUUUUCCUGCCUGGGCCAGGAUCACACUUUGCAUUUUACAAAUUUAUGCAUUUGGGAGGCAGAUAUAGAGCUCCCAUCUGCUGGUCCACUCCUCAAUGCCUGCAGUAGCCAGGGCAGGGCUGGGACCCAAGCUAGGAGCCAGGAACCCAAUCAGGUUUCCCACAUGGGUAGCAGAAACCCUGUCACUUGAGCCCUUCAUGGCUACUACUUGGUGUCUUCAAUGGCAGGAAGCUGAAGUCAAGAGCUGGAGACAGGUAUGGAACCCAGGCACUCAGAUAUGGGUUGUGGGUUUCUUAGCCAUUGUCUUAAUUGCUAGACUAAACACCCAUCCCACACUUCGCUCUUAACAGUCAAGUCUCUUUAGUUUUCUUCAGUCUGUAAGCAUUCCUCAUCUCUCCGUGUGUUUCACGACCUUAACAGUGUUAAAAUUUGCAGGCCUUUCAGUCUGUAGGACAAAGCUGAGUCUGGUUCCACUGAUGUUUCUGCAAGACAAGACUCAGACUUGCAUUCCUGGGCAGAGCGUGCGGAGGGGACGCGGUCCUUCUCUCGCUGGGUCACAUGAGCAGGCUCAUGAUACGCACCGUCCCACCACAGGGGAUAUUGGCUUUAUCACCUGCUCAGUUUGGUGCCUGCCAGGUUUCUUCACAUCAACUCACUGUUUCCUGUCUGUGAUUGAUAAGUUGAUGUUCCACAUCUCAUUAAACCUCUUUCCCUUGUCUUAGUAUCCAUUGGAAAUGUUUGCCUGAAGUGAUCAUUGUUAUAGUGGUUGCCAGAGGUGAUUUUUCUAUUUUUAUCAUUCCUACUAAAUGAUUAGUUGGCAUUCUACUAUUAUUUGAAUGAUGCUUUUUGGCACAAGAAAAUGCUCCAGCAUCAUCACAAAUUUCUCUGCCUUUGCCUUGGAAUUAACUAUUUUUUUCCCAAGGAAUCCCAGAGUGGAGAACAAUAUUUGAAGACUAAAACCUAGGUGCUUGGUUGCUUCUGGCUUCUGUUGUGUUGCUGAUUCCAGGCCUUCUCAGUGUCCAAAGGUGGGACAAACACAUGUACCUAUGUGUGUGUGUGUGUACAUGUGCGUGUAUGUGUCACCCCCACAGAACUGUAACUGUUCCUGUUUAGCUGUGUACAUAUAUAUAAUAUAUAUAUAUUUAAAAAGAUUUAUUUGAAAGGCAGAGUUACAGAGAGGCAGAGGCAGAGAGAAAGGUCUUCCAUUCACUGGUUCACUCCCCAGAUGGCUGCAACAGCUGGAGCUGGGCUUGAUCCAAAGCCAGAAGUCAAGAGCUUCUUCCAGGUCUGCCACGUGGGUGCAGGGGCCCAAACGGUUCGGUCAUCUUCUGUUGCUUUCUCAGGCCAUAGCAGAGAGCUGGGUUGGAAAUGGAACAGCUGGGACUGGAAUGGGCGCCCAUAUAGAAUGCUGGCACUGUAGGUGGCGGCUUUUACCCCUAUGCCACCACAACUGGCCACUUUUAAUCUUUUAAAUUAAUCAACUUCCUCUGCUUGCACACAGCCCUGAAAUAAGUCUGUCCUAACCACAGAGGUGCCCAUUGUUGUUGACUGUGGAGUCUCUGUGAGAGGGAUCACCUGCUUGUCUGAGGGCAGACUACAGAUCUUGGGCUGUGUCCCACCUUGGGUCUAGGUUUAUUUUGGCCAAAAUGGAGAGCACAGUUAUAAGGGUGACUGGCGGAACUGGUGCUGUGGUGUAGAGGGUACAGCUGCUACCUGCGGCACCAGCAUCCCAUAUGGGUGCCAGUUUGAGUCCCAGCUGCUCUACUUUUUUUUUUUUUUUAAAGAUUUAUUUUAUUUGUUAGAGAGAGAGAUUGAGAUUGAGAUUGAGAUUGAGAUCUUCUGUCUGCUGGUUCACUCCCCAGAUGGCCGCAAUAGUAGAGCUGAACUGAUUUGAAGCUAGGAGUCAGGAACUUCUUCCAGGUCUCCCACACAGGUUCGGGGGCCCAAGGACUUGGGCCAUCUUCUGCUUCUUUCCCAGGCCAUAGCAGAGAGCUGGAUUGGAAAUCUGAAAAUUAAGCCUUCCUCUGGUUUCAUGGGCCACUUCUUGGGAAACACUGACCCUAAAUCUCACACGGUGAUUUCUCUGAUGAAUUGACCGAGGUCUAGAGGCCACCCCAGACUUGUUCCCAUCUCUGUGGCCUGUCAAUGGCAGAUCUGGAAUUAGAAACCCGACUGGCACUAGGGUGAGACAGGCAAGAUGCCAAAGAUGCAGACUUCAGGAGGUCUUUGCCCUCAGGGUCACUGACAUGCCCUGUGCACUCCCUUGCCUCACAGAGGCCCCGCCCAGAUUAGAACUCUAGGGUCCUACUUACCAGGAGGGAGGGGGCACGUCUGGCUUGGGGAGCUCGGGUGAGGGGGACUUGCAGGGAGUUUUCUUAUGCUGGUUCUCCCGAGGUGUGGGAUUCCAUGGCCUGGGAUGGUUACUCACCUGGGAAGCAUGCAUCGCACUGUACGCACAGGGCGCUGAGGGCCUCUGCAGUCUGGGUGCAGAAUUCCUUGCCUGGGUUAUCUUUAACUGGUUGCUGAGGGUUGCAGUAGUAGAUACUUCUCUCUUAUAAGAAUAGGCUUUCCCUCCAAGCAGAUCUGUCUCGUAGGGUUCAGAUUUCUUUGUCUCUGGUCUGGUGUCUGCUUUCUUCAUGUAGAACUGCUUACUAAGAAUUAAGAAGGGAGAACUAGCUUUGUUGUUGGUUGGUUGAGGUAAGAAACAAUCUCCAAGAUGGCCAAUAUAAGACAUAGAAGGAAGAAGGGCGAGGGGGACAAGAGACAUGUCUUGAGCCACUUUGUGACUCUUCCAGUACUCUGGUAGAAAGUGCAGUCUUUUCUUAGUUGGCCUCUUGGCCCACUCUCACCCUGAUCUGGUAUAUUUUCAACAAGGCAGCUGGAGAGAUCCACUAAGUUAUACACAAGGCAAGAAAAUGAAAAUGAAUUAAAAGGCAUUGGAAAGGAAGAGGUAAAACCAUCUCUAUUUUCAGAUGACAAGAUCUCGCACAGCAAACACUAAAAACUAUUAGGAGUAACAAAUGGACUCAGCAGAGUUUCAGGAUAUGUGGCCAAUAUAUAAAAAUUUAUAGCAGCAUCAAUAUGAGUAACACAUUUAGGAAUACAGUUAACAAAGGAAGUGUAGCACCUAUAUACUGAAAACUACAAAACAUUACUGAAAGAAAUGAAAGAUGAUGAAAAGAAAUGGAAUGGCAUCCCUAUUCCUACAUCAGAAGAGUUAAUGUUCAGAUAGCAACAUGUGCUCCUUGAAUGAUUUAUAGAUUCAGUAUAGCCACAUAAGAAUCCCACUUGAUUUCUUUUAGAAUUUCCAGUUGGUUUCUUUUACAAGCUAAUUCCAAAAUUUACAUGGAAACUCAAGGAACCCAAAAUAUGCAAAAUAAUCUUGAAAAGAGGAAAAAGCUGGGUGUCUCACACUUUGCAAUUUCAGAAUAGCUAUGAAGUGGUAGGACAGUAUGGUACUGACAUAUGCAUAGAUGUAUGGACCAAUGGAAUGGAAUUGAGAGUUCAGAGAUAAACCCGUGUAUCUAUGGUUAGUUGAUUAUUUACAGGGAUGCUAAGACCAUUCAAUAGGAAAAGAAUAAUCUCUGUAGAAAAUGGCAUUGAAACAAUUGGGAAGCCACACCUAAGAGGAUGAAGUUGGAUCCUUAUCUCAGACUACGUAGAAAAGUGAAAUCAAAGUGGGCCAAAGACCUAAAUAUGAGAGCCUAAACCAUAAUCUCUUAAAAGAAAAUGUAGGUGUAAAUCUCCAUGAUCUUGGAUUUGGCAGUGGGUUCUUAGACAUGACAUCAAAAGCACAAAUUGGACUUUCAUAAAAAAGACUUUUGUGUUUUGAAGGACACUAUCAAGAAAGCAAAAAGACAACCUAUAGAAAGGGAGAAAAUAUUGGCAAAUCUAGAGUAUUUGCUGAAUGCUUACUGCUCAGUGAUAAAAAGACAACCCAGUUAAGAAGACAGUGCUGCAAAGAUACACAAACAGCCACUGAGCACACAAGAGGACACUAAACAUCAGCAAUUAGGGAAUGCACAUCAAAAGCACUGUGAGAUAAUACUUCAGAUCUACUCAGGAUGAUUAGAAUCAAAGAAAAUCAGAUAAUAAGUGUUAUCAAGGACAUGAAGGAAGUGCUUUUACCCACUGCUGGUGGGAGUGUAAAAUGGAAAACAGUCUGGCAAUUCGACAAAAAAUUAAACAGCAUUACCUUUUAACUGUCCAGCAAUUCCACGCUGAUGUAGAAACCCAAGAAAUAAAAAACGGCCACUCAAAAAUUUGCAUUUGAAUGUUCACAGCAAUAUUAUGCACAAUAACCCAGAGGUCCACCAACUGGUGAAUGGGUAAACAGGAAGUGGUAUAUUCAUGCAAUGAGAUAUUAUUUGGCCAUAAAAAGAAAUGAAGUACGUGAAUCAUGCUACAACAUGGAUAAGCCUUGAAAACACACCUGGUGAAAAAAGAGUUACAAAAUACUGCUGAAUUCAUCUACUCCCAAGGGAGUCUAAAAAGACGGCUGCUUUGGCUGCUGCUUCUUGAGGUUCAAGGUCUAGGGCCCUUGAGGUUGGAAGAGUCCCAAGAUAGCAAGACACAGUGCAUAAGUCUGUGCCUGUGUCUGCAUCUAUGUGAUUGCUCUCCUUAAAAAGCCACCAGGAUUUCAUCAUGGAUGCGCCACCCUAAAUACCGUAGUCAUCAUUAACGUGCUUGUGUGACUUUGGGGAUUAAAUUCCUACAGGACUUUUGGAGGGCAAUCCAUAUACCAGCCACAUGCUAUAAGACUCUGUUUACAGGAAAUGCCCAGAAUAGGCAAAUAUGUAGAAAUAUAGCAAGUGCAUCAGUAGUUAGACACAGCAAGGGGAGGCGGUGCUGAGAAAAUUGGGGAGUGAUAACUAAGGGGUAGGGUGUUUCUUUUUGAAGUAGUAGAAAGGUUUGAAAAAUGACUUUGGUGAUGGUUAUUCAACUUUGGAAAUUGCUGUAAAGCAUAAAUUGUGCAAUUUAUGUGAGUGAGUUAGAUGACAUAUAAAUUACAUCUCAUUAAAUUCUGGUUCUAUUUUCUAUCUGUCUACCUCUCUGUCUAAUCUCAUCCAUUUAUCUAAACCGUUCCAUGUCCUGCACUGCUGAGCACCCUUCAGGAGCUCCCAUUUUACUCAGAAGAGUGCACUUCCAAGUCCUUAUGAUGACCUCCGAGGCUCACCAGCACCCGUGGCUAAACCUGCAGCUGUCAUCUGGUCUCCUACUGCUGUGUGCCUAUUUGCUGUCCCUCUGGACUGCUUUUCUCCCCCGUGACAGCAUGGUUCCUUCCUUUCCUUUCCCUUUCUCUCUCUCUCUCCCGUCUCUGCCUCCUACCUAGGUUUAAUACCCAGUUUCUGACUUCAGAUUCCUACUAAUUUUACAAACCCUGGGAGAUAGCAGGUGAUGGCUCAAGAGGUUAAGUCCCUGCCACCCAUGUGGGAGACCUGGAUUAUAUUCAUGCAUCCCAGCUUUGGCUUGCCUCAGCCCUGGUCCUGGCAGGCAUUUGUAAUGUGAACCAGUGAACAGGAGCACUUGGUCUCUCUGCUUCUCAAAUAUGUGGGGAGCAACUCGGACUAGACUAAGUUACUGGAACUAAGACUUAUUCUAUGCAUCUGCUCUCCCACAAUAUGGCGCUGGGAGAGAAGAAAACAGCUUCUACACAGCUGCCUCCAGUUCAGCCAAUAAACUGUAGGACUUGCUCCUGAUUGGAGGAGAGCAGCGUACUCGGCGUGUGGGCAGCCGAGUUGGGAUUGGCAGAGGAGGACUAUAAAGGAGGAGAGAGACGGCAUGCACCAGGAACAUCUAAGGGGAACAUCUAAGGGGAACACCUGUGCAGCCCCCGAGAGAGCCGGCCGGCGGUGUGCCGCUCCCCUGCGGAAGUGGGGAAUGUGGCCAGGGGGAACUGCCCUUCCACGGAGGUGGAAGGGAUAGUAGCCAACCCGGGAAGAACCAGCAGCAAACCCGGGGAGGGCCGAGCAGACAAAAGAACAGCGCAGGGUCCUGUGUCGUUCCUCCACGAAGACAGGGAGCGACAUAAUGGUGCCGUGACUCGGAUAUGAAGCCUAGGCAGGGUUUAGUGUCGUUCCUCCAUGAAGAGGGGGAGCGACAAAAUAAGUCCAAAAUUUUUUUUCUUUUUUAGCUAUAAUGCUGUAUUGUAUGUUGAGAAGUUCUGGUGCUAAUUGUACAAGACAAACAGCCUGGUUCUAUCAGUCACUGAAAAUGCCUAGACAAAGAGGAAAGGGAGUAAGUUGCUGGUGUUAGAGGUAGGGAAGGAGUGGAUUGGUCAAGACUUUGAGUUGCAAGUUACAAGCAGUCUUCAUAAAGUUCAAGGAAAAUGUAUAUUGUAAAAAAACUAUACAUGGAUUUCAAAAAUCUUUGCAACAAAAUAAAGUUAGCUUUCAAUCCCACUUUCAUAUUAAUUAAUUUUUUUUUAUUUCAGAAAGAGAGAGUGAGAGUGAGUACUCCUAUCUUCUGGUUCACUCCUCAGUUGCCUGUAAUAGCUGGAGCUGUGCUAGGCUGAAGCCAGGAGCCAAGGACUCCAUCCAGGCCUCCAUUUAAGUGGCAGGACCCAACUACUGGAACCCUAACCACUGUCGCCCAGAUUUGGAGAGUCAGAGAAGGAGACGAGUCUGGGGUGGUCCAAGGCUAGGGGUCUGGGCAGCUGAGAGGGUCAGAGUGCGACACUGAGAAGGAGCACAUUUUGGGUGGAAGUCAGGAGCUUAGCUGUUGCCAUGUUACCUUGAGGCAUUUCUUAAUGUGUAAGUAGAAGGAGAUGUUAAGGGAAAAAAUGGACAUACAAUUCACGAUUAGGGGAUAUUUCCAUGCUGGAAAUUGACAUUUGAAAGUCUACAGCAGACAGGUUAUAUUUAAGUUCAUGAGCCUGAAUGAGCACCUAUGGAGUGGCCAUAGAUGGAGCCAAGGAAGGAUGAAGAACUGAGCCCUGGGAUGCAGGAACAGUAGAGAAAGAGGGAUGAGGAGCCAGAAAACAAGGUUCAGAAAGAACAGCCAGCAGUGUCAGAGGAAAGCCAGCGGGACUGGGGAGCUCUGGAAACAGGGGACAUAGAGUAUGUCCAGGAAGAGGGAGCAGAUAACUGGUCCGAAUACUGUUUAUAGGUUCAGUAAGGUAAGACCUAGGAUUGACCUAGGGAUUAGCAGUGUUGUAAGCAAGCUUGGUUGGGCCUGUUAUGGGGAUACUAUAUGGACAGAUGUUUGGAGGGCAUUUAAGACAUAAUGGAAAGAGAGGAACUGGACUCAAUGAGUUGAGAAGGAUUUGUUUUUAAAGACUUUCUGUGAAGGAGAACAGAGAGGUUAGGUUGUGGUAUAGAAGGGAAGUGGAUAUCAAGAGGUGUUUUAAAACAAGUGCUUUAACUAUUUUCUGUCAGUUUUCUUUAUUUUUUUAAACGAUUUCUUAGCAUUUUUAUUUCAGGGUAAUAGUAGUGAGAAACAAUACAGAGAGAUCCCUUGUUCCUUUUACUGAGUUUUCCUAAAUGGUAGCAUCUUGCACGCAUGGGACAAUAUUACAGCCAGGGUUUUGACAUCAGAAGUGUCAAGAUACAGAACACUUUCAUCACCACAGGGGUCCCUCGUGCCGUAUGGACACUCCCCCAUAACCCCUGGCAACUACUAACCUCUCACCCACUUCUGUAAUUCUGUCACUUCAAGAAUAUUGUGUACAUGGAAUUACAGAGUCUACAGCCGUGUGGAAUGGUUUUCUCUUCACUGAGCAUGCUUGCUAGGAUUCAACCAGAUUGCUGCAUGAAUCCAUAAUUCAUUUCUUUUAUUGCUGAGUAGUAUCCCAUGGCAUUGACACACCACAUUCUGUUUAACCGUUCCUCUGCUGAAGAGUAAUAUCUAGAUCGUUUUCAGUUCUUGGCUAUCACGCAUGAAGCUUCUAUAAACAUUUGUGAAUAGAUUUUUUUAAAAAAAUUAUUUUUACUUUACUUGAAAAGUAGACACACACACACACACACAAAGAGAGAAAAAGAGAGAGGGAAGAUCAGAAAGAAGACAAGAGAGUUCUUCCAUCCGUUGCUUUAGUGCCCAAAUGCCUGUAACAGCCAUAGCUUUGCUCAUAUCUGUUUCCUCUGGGGAUUCUCUGUGUAUUGCAAUCAAUUUCUCCCAGCUUCCUAACACCUCCCCCAUUAUAAAAUGAGCCCCCUGAGGACAAGAUCUAGGUCUGUUUUGUUUUUAUAGCCUCAGCGCUUGGGACUACGCCUGACACAGCAGAAGUGCUUCGGAACUGCCUUUCAUUGGGUGCCCUCUGAAACUGUUGCUCACCUCUGUAAAGCAGUGAAGCAGGUACCAUGGACAGAGCACGGACGGACAAAGAUGUGGAAUUCAUGUUGGAGCACAGGCUUGAGCUAGGGAUGGGCUGUUUUCCUGACUCUGGCAAGAGAAUAUGCACAGGAUCAAGCAUGUCCAUUCAUUUUUCUUCUAGAUUUCCAGAGAGAGAAUGAGCCCCAUGCAGUGUGGGAAUUGUGCUCCUGGUCUACUUUCCCCUGAUCUACACUGCUUGGAUCUUCAGGUGUCACUGUGUGGACGGCCCUGAGUCGUGACUCUUCCUAGACGCUGUAAACCUGCCUCCUCUCUCCUGUUGUGGAGUUGGCACAGCCUUUGGCUGGUCUCCAGACAGCUCCCCUCCCCCCCGCCUCCCCACUCUCCAAGACCAUUUGGAGCAGAGAAAGGGCAUACUAAGGCUGGAGGAGAGAACAACUUUCCUUUUUUUUUUUUUUUUUUGCAUUCUGUCCCUUGUAUCUAUAAACUUUGGACUCUCACUGCUUGGGUUGAUCUGCCUGUGCUCCUCAAUGAGAUCGUACGUGACUUAGAAUCUCCCUGUCAGUGUCAUUUUUAGACCUUAUAUUACGAAGUCCCAUCAUCUACAUCUGCCUCGAUUCACCUUAAAAUCCCCCUCUCUUCAUUUCCCUCAAUGUGGCUGCAUAGAAGAGCCCUUCCCCAGUGUGGAGUUCCUCCCAACCCUGGAGAGGCUGAAGACCUGUGCUUAGGACAGGACCCGCAGCAAUGGAGAGCUCCUCAAAGGCAGUCUCUCACUAGCUCUUCCUCUGGACUCACACUGCGUGGAGCCUGAAUGGAGGAUCAGGUAAGGCAAAUGCUUAUUCUACCCCAUCCUGCUGGUGAGAAACAGGCGGGACCUCAGGUGAGGCAGGAAGCUCUGGCUUAGGACUGGGAGAAGGGACAGAGCACUCGCUGCAGAGGGGGGUCCUGCAGGGAGGAAGGUGGAGGACGCCUGUGUUCCCAGAGUUUUCCUCUCUCCAGGAAGCCAUGUGAUCUUUGCCAGGUAAGGGAUGGGCAGGCAAGGACCACAGAGCUCUUGCUGGAGAAACUGAGCAAAAAUAAAUGGAAAACUCAAAACUCAGCAGGUACCAAGACUAACUGAGUGAUGCUGCAGGGCAGUGCUGCCUGCAUUGAGACUUCUGGGGUUGUAGUUUCUUGUAAAGGGCUUUGGGGGAGGGGAGUGGUUCUAUUUCCUGGCAAGGGUUACGGACCCACUGAGACCCUAGCCACAAGUGGGUGUCUCUGUCAGCUUCGAGGUGAGAACACACCCAUGGCAAGAAUUCUCUAGGAGCUGCUGCUCGCCCCUCCCAUCCUGCGAGGGUGUGGUGAGCUGGGUGGGGUGGCCCUUGUUUGUGGGUGCCACGACUCCUGGCUGGAAGAGCUUGAGCCACUACUCAAGCGAUGGUCACAGACUUACCUUCCCAGAUGAGGUUCUACCACGUAGGAUAAAGGCGUCAAUAAUGACUAAUAAGUUAGGCCAGAUUGACAUGGAAGAAUGAUCUCAAGAGAUGACUUCAGGGUUGUGGACUUGGAGCGUUAAAAGCAUCGUCCCAGAGAAAGAAUGAAGAACUGGCAGGAAGAGAGGAUUGGGGCCAGAGUGGACGUUGAUGGUGGCGGUGUUAGUGUGCCUGCUAUGAGGAAUGUGGCGGGCAGUAGGGAAGGUGGCACGGAAGUUGGGGAUGGUGAUGUGUUCACAGAUCCUGAGAGGAAAGAUGAGGAGCUGCUCAUGGAGCACCUGCAGCCAUCCUCAGAGACUACAGACACGAAUGAGAGACUGGGAUAAAUUGUUCCCUGUUAGUACAGAGGGACCACCUAUCAGCUGCUGUUUUACCUUUUUUUUUUUUUUAGCAAAAGUGAAGAAGGAGCUAACAGAGUUAGUAACUGACACAUCAUUUUAUCUUGAAAAUGUUUUGAAAACUUCAUGGAAGAUGGAACUAAAAGAAGUUUUGCACAAAAUGCAGAACAUUUUGUGAAGUCCAUGCAUAGUUGGUCCAUAUUGCACUUUUAAAAAAUAUUUAUGUUUUAUUUAUUUGAAAGGCAGAGUUACAGAGAGGCAGUGACAAAGAGAGAGAGAAAGGUCGUCCACCCACUGGUUCACUCCCCAAAUGGCCGCAAAAGAUUCGAGGCUGGAAAUAAUUCUUCCUCCUUCCCCUGCCCCACCCACCCUGUGCUCUGGCCAGAGGCUCCUCCAGUCACAGACUCUGCUGGUAAACAUCCCAGCAGACAGUCAGCGUCUAGGAAAUUGUCAUCUUUUUGUUGUUUGUCUCCUUUAUCCAGAACUUUCUGUGGCUCUCUUACUGCUCUCUGAGUUGGCAGGACAUAGUAGGGCAGAUCAAAUCCUGAAGUCAGUCCAACACGUUCCUUCUUUAGUAGCACAUCAGUGGCUUCUGCCGUGGAGAGGCAGUGGGAUGUGUUGGGGAGCCCAGGGAGACCCUGCCAAGCCACACUCAGGAGUGCAGGGCCCCCAGUCCUUGUACUUCACAUUACUCUGUCUCUCGGCCGUGAGUGUCCCAGCUCAGGGGUGUUGGGUUGAAUUGCAUUCCCUCCAAAAGAUAUGUUGAAGUCUUAAGCCCUGAUACUUUACUUGGAAAUAGGGAUUUUGCAGAAAUGAUUAAGUCGAAUGAAGUUACACUGGAUUAGGGUGGCCCUAUAUCUGAUGACUGAUGUCCUUACGCAGAGGCUGUGUGAAGACUCAGAGACACAGACACACAGGGAUAGCCCAUGUGACAAGAGGCAGAGGCCGGAGUGACACAUCAAUGAGCUAAGGGACGCCAAGGAUUGCCUACAACUGCCAGAUUCUGGGAUAAAAGCCUGGGACCCCUUCUUCCUCCCCCAGGGCCCCAGGAAGAUCCACCCCUGGUCUCUGACACCGUGGUUUCUGCCUUCGAGCCUCCGAGGCUGUGAGAGGACAAAUCACAUGGUGUGGUCACUGGGUAUGGCAGCUGUGAGAAGCUAAUACCAGAGGUCUCCAGCUAGUUCUGGAAGAGUCCGUUCCUGCAACAGUAGCUGUGGGAGCCCCACCCAGAUCUCUGCCUUUCCUUGAGCGGCCAGAUGGCUGCUGACUGCUGUCACCUCUGUCCUUCUCUUGCUCUAUGGAGGAUGCAGCUCCAGCUGUGCCUGGCUGCUAUGCCUCCUCCUCCCAUGUAGCCAGUGAGAGUCCAGUCCCUUUUCCUGGAGGCCAACAGACUGGGUGCUCUGUGUGGUGGAGAGCUCUCUGAGCCAUCAGCCCGAGCGUGGACAUCACUGACUCCGCAUCCUAGCUUAGCUUCCUCCCCUGUCCCCGCCCUCCCCGAGCCCUUGCGAGAUUCUCCUGCCAGCAUCCCCAGCCCCACGUCGCCUGCACUGAGCCCUGUCUCAGACUGCUCCCAGAAGGCCUGACUUCAGAUGCUUUCCAGGCCCUGCUCCUCCAUCACUGGGCUCCUGGCUGUUGCAGGUGCUGUGCUGUGGGAUGUCCACGUGGCAUGCAUUGAGAAUCCCCGGGACUCUGCUGGGCACAAACACUGAUGGGUGACUUGUUAGGGCAGGUGCUGAUGAAGUGAUGUCCUCAUGAGGGCUGGUGGAGGGAGCACCAUCAGUGUCAGGGUGUGGGUGAUAGUGGGACCUUCCUUGGUGGAGCCAUGGUGGCCUGCAGAAGGUUGACCCAGCACUCAGGGGCCCGUGGAUGCCCCAUUGACCUUGUGGCCCCUUGUCUUCUGAGGGGGCAACCUUCUUGGUCUCCUCUGAGGUCGUCAGAGUCUCUUCUCUCAACUCCCCCCACCCCCCGCUUCCCCUCUUAUAUAUUUAUUCACUCAUCCAACAAAUAUUUAUUGAGUAUCAGCUUUGCAUUAGGUCCUGUCCUAGGUACUGGGAAUAGAACAGUGGGCAAAAAGACCAAGUACCUGCUCACGUGAAGCUUGGGGCCCAGAGGCAGGGACAGCUGGACAAAUAGAUGCGUAGGAUCCUGUCCAGCCCUGGGAAAGCCCCUUCUCAUUGCUGUGAAAUCAUUUCCUUUUCCUGUUUUUCUCAAUGUGCAGCAAGUUCUCUUCUAGGGAUUUAGACUAUUGUGUAAUGACAGCAGUAGUAAUUAUUAUUACAACAGCCAGACUCUAUGUAGGCUGUUUCUUUUUAUCCUAAUCAUGCUACUCGAUCAUAUGGGCAAGAGAGAAAGUGGAAAAUAACAGGAAGAGAAAAGUAAAAGUUAGUAUCCCAGGAUAUUAUCUAGCAACCAAUGUCAUACCUAUUAAAUCAUUGUUAGGUGUCAUCUGACAGAUCUCUUGAACAAGGGGGAGAUGAGAGGCUAUUUCUGGAACAUUCCCAUCUUCAGGGCUUGGGGAAGUUUACAAGAAUACCUUGUAUAAUUGUUUUCCAGCCUCAUCACUUAGAAGGUGUGUGACUUUGAGCAAGCUCCUUAGCCUCUGUGGGGCCUCAGUUUGACAAAGCUUAAUUGUCUGAGUAAAGGCAUAGGGAUAUGCCUGGCGUGCCCUAAACAUCUGGGAUCAGUGGAAUCAGAGAUGCAGAUUUGGUUGGUAUGUGGAGGACUCCCAGGAACCUGUAUUUUUGAAGAACGUCUCAGAGUUCUGCACAUUUGGGUUCCGGGAUCCCUGCUGCAUGGCUGCUCCUGCACUCAGUAAGUUUUGCUGAGUCACGGUGGAUACUCAUGGCACAGGGUUCACUAUGACUUGUUCCCUGGCCUCAAGAGCACUUGGCCCAGUGGGGACAACAGACAUGUAAACAAAGAUGAUGUCACAGGAUGACCAGUGUUUGAUAGAUACGUGGGUGAGACGCAGUGGAAGUACAGGGAAGGUUGUGGGUUAAUGUAUUUUAGGGGCGGAGUAAUUAGAGUGGGCUUCCAGAUGAAGGGAGAGUUCGGGUGGGUUCUGAUGGAACAGGGUUGGCAGAGGUGUGAGUAGAUGAUUCCAGGUAGAAGGAAUGACACAGGCAAGUCGCAGAGGUGUUGGGUUCAGUUUCCAGGGCUGUCCUGACAAAGUACCCCAAAUACUGUGGUUAAGACAGCAGAAAUGUGUUCUGUCCAUCUUGUGGAGGCUGGAAGUCUGAAGCCAAGGUGUCGGCAUCGUUCGCUCCUCCUGAGCCUUUCCUCUUCCUCACUCCUGGGGGUCACUGGUGAUCUUGGGCAUUUCUUGGAGUGGGGCUGCAUGACUCCUAUCUCUGCCUUCUUUCUGUGUCUACGUCUUUUCAUAAGCAGACGAAUCAUUGGAUAUGGGAUCCACCCUAGUGGAACCUAGUGGAACCUUACAUAUUACUUUAAAGAUUUAUUUAUUUGAAAGGCAGAGUUUCAGAGAGGCAGAGGCAGAGAGAGAGGUCUUCCAUCUGCUGGUUCACUCCCCAAAUGAUUACAAUGGCUGGAGCUGCGCCAAUCCGAAGCCAGGAGCCAGGAGCUUCUUUUGGGUCUCCCACAUGAGUGCAGGGGCCCAAGCACUUGGACCACCUUCUGCUUUCCCAGGCCAUAGCAGAGAGCUGGAUUGGAAGUGGGGGAGCUGGUACUGGAACCAGUGACCAAAUGGGAUGCUGGCACUGCAGGCAGCGGCUUUACCCACUAUGCCACAACACCAGCUUCUAGUGUGACCUUAUAUUAACUUGCAUCUGCAAAGAUCUUACUUCCAAACAAGGUCACAUUCAUAAGGGCUAGGGGUUAGGAUUUGAGCAUGUCUUUUUGGGAGACAUAAUUCAAUCUAUUGCUUUGUGAGACAAUCUAUUGUGAGAUAACAAAUAUGCCAUUUGUUCUACUUCUGUCAUUCAGGUAGCCAGACUAACACAUAGAGUGCAUUAUAAACAUUGAGUGCUGGAAUAAUUUAGAAACAUGAAUAGUAAGGCUAAGGUAACUGGGAAAUUGUUUGGGAAUUAGGCCUGAACUGGCUCAUGCUGUUGGUUCAACCGGUUCAGCCUUUUGGGUGACACUCUUGGGCUAAACUGAUCACCCUACACUGGCCAGAGCAUAGAUUGGUUGCUCUUGGCCAGUAACCCACCCAUUGCUGGUUCAAUCAGCUGUGGCUGGGCAGGUCGGAUUCUCUGACACCUCUCUGAGAGCUUAAUCACGUCCCUUGGGUUCCUCGGAACAGAUAUCUCUAUGUCAAGUCUUAGAUGAUGGGCAGAGAUGGCUCAUAGGCAGAGAGAGCUGGAGUCUAGUGGCUAUUUUAGGAGAAUUGUAGGUAUGCCUUCUGGCUCUCAGCUCUCUCUCCAUACUGCCCAGCUGCUAGGAGCUUUGUGGAGUCAUGGGCUGGGCAGGUGCCACUGGUCCCAGGAGUGGUGGGGGGUAAAGCAUCCCUGGAUUUUCCUUGAGCUCUGGUGGGGCAGUGAGCCGCUCCCCAUUUACUUUGCCCAUAAAGUUCCUACUUUGUACUCAACAAAUAGAAAAAUGCAACAAUUCUUGCUUCCCUUGUCUUUUUUUUUUUUUAAAGAUUUUAUUUAUUUAUUUGAGAGGUAGAGUUACAGACAGUGAGAGGGAGAGACAGAGAGAAAGGUCUUCCUUCCAUUGGUUCACUCCCCAAAUGGCGCAACAGCCGGAGCUAUGCCAAUCCGAAGCCAGGAGCCAGGUGCUUCUUCCUGGUCUCCCAUGCGGCUGCAGGGGCCCAAAGACUUGGGCCAUCUUCUACUGUUUUCCCAGGCCUUAGCAGAGAGCUGGACUGGAAGAGGAGCAACUGGGACUAGAACCGGCGCCCAUAUGGGAUGCCAGCACUGCAGGUGAAAGAUUAACCUAGUGCGCCACGGCGCCGACUCCUCCCUUGUCUUUGAUUGGACAGAUCACAUAUGAGCGAAGCCAGGUGUGGCAGGGCCAGUUUUAUUUUCUUAUUUAACCAUUGAACAGGAAUAUCUGAAAAUGUGUUCUGUUUGGCCCUCAUAGUGUGUUGUCUUAAAUUUACAUUUCAUUUAUGAGCGAGCGCUCGUGUGAGAGACCAGGCGAGCUGCCCUGCACUGGUCCACUCUGCUGUGAUGCUGAGUUGGGCUGAGGCUGGCAGCCGGGAGCUCAAUUCAAGUGUCCUUUGCGGUGGCAGGAACCCAGUCACUUGAAUCAUCGUCUGCUGCCUCUCAGGGUCUGCAGCCGCAGGAAGCUGGAACCAGGAGCCAAAGCAGGAAGGGAACAACCAGAGUGGACACGAUGGUCUCUCUGCUGGAAGGGGGCCGGUGCAGGGGCCAGUCACGUGGAUACCGCGAGGGAAUGAACUUGGAAAGGUCACACACCUGAUUUUCUCAACCUGCAGUCAGACCCACAAACCUCGGUAUUAGCCUCUUGCAGGUGGGGGACUGUGGCUGGAGGGAGGAUCUGGGAGAGAACUCAAGAGAGAAAGGGAAAAAGGAAGGAGAAGGAAAAAGAUAAAGACAGGAGGACUUGGGAAUCGAGAGUGGGGAGAAGAGAAGAUUCCUCAGAUCCUUUUUGUAGGAGAACGGAGAGCAUGGGCAGUGUGGCCACGAAUGUGCAGACUGUGGUGGGUCCCAGAGAACAAGGCUCAGCCCCUGCCCCCGGGGAUGCUACAGGAUCCUCCAUCACUUGUAACCUGGACCUAGAAUGAUGGGGUGUAAUGGUUUAAGGUGCUCAUGUACAGCUCCUCAACACACAGUAGCUAAGGAUUUCUGCAUUUGGAGUAAAUUCUAUCUUUGAUUAUACAAAGGAGCUGCAAAAGGGUUGUGCAAAAGUAGAAUUAAAAGGUAUGGAGUACUAAGUUCUGCAGAGAUAAGAAUGUUUAAGAUGCACUUUCCGUGAAUGUGAUCAUUUAUUAAGAGAACGUAAGCAAAGACUCACAUUCCAAAAUGAUCACACUCUGGCCACACAAGAAGAUGACGUGGUUGAAAUGUCGACUGCAGCCAGAGUUCCGUGAGAAUUCUGCCGCACGGGGCGGCCAGCCGGCUCUGAGCCCCCACGGAGAGCACGCAGCAUCGAGGUUCAGCUGGAAGCCUCCACCUCCGCUUGGCUCUCCUGGGCAGGAUGCUGGCAGAAUACAGACUUCCAGCGCAGCGGGCAGCGUUUGCCGCCCAAAUUCCGCAGGGUGAUGCCCUGUGCCCAGAGGGAUUGCUGCACACAGGAGAGGAGCACUGCGCUGGGGAGUGCGCCACGUCGUAGAACCAGCAAGCUAGCCCGCUCUUCAGCCCAGAGCGGGUGGCACCUCAUCCUUCUAGGCUGCUCGUGGCGAGCACAACCUGGAGACGUGGGCCAAGUGAACUGCAGUGGGCUUUGCGUUCUUGGCACACCCAGCAAGAUGAGAAGCACUUGGCAGUUGUCAGUCCCUGCACACCUCCGUGGGCCUUUGUGCAGGGGUCCUGGGCUCUACGCUGGGGACUCUGCUCCCAGGGCUCUGUUCACCCCUCCCCCAGGGCUCCCACUCUGGAUGCAGCCUCUUUUGCCAGGCCCAGUCCCCACCCAGUAACUUCUGCUUGUCCAUCCGUGUGAGCUGUGCCUUGUGUGCAAGUUCAUCAUCGCCCCAGCUUCCAAAGGGGUGAAUACUGGAGAGUUCCUGGGCUUUAUGUACAGUGCACAGAUGUCCAUACAAUACAGAAACAGAUGGACGGCGUCUCCCUACAGGCUUAAACUUUCAUGAUGGGUGAGUGGGAACACAACGUCUCCAAAUACCUCUUGUGGAGGAGAUAAUAAUGAAAAGAAGGUUGGGAAAGUCUCAUCUAAGGUGUUACACAGGCCACUGUGCUGCGUCUCGUGUUCAGAGUCUGGGGUUAGGGAGUCACAGGACAAGAGCGAUCUUUGCAGAAAAAAGAACUGGUGGUUGGCUGUGAGGGAUAAGAGGGGAGGAACUGCUGCAUGAACAGUGCUUCUCGGAGCCAGGCACCGUGCUGGGCCCGGUGUCUGCAGUGCCUCCUUGCGGUCAUAUUUUCAUUUUCAGAUGGUGAAAUGAGGAGGAAAAAGCCACAAGCCUUGCACUGCAUAGCUGGAAAAGGGUCAAAUUGGGAUUUUUUUUUUUAAGAUUUAUUUAUGUAUUUGAAAGGCAGAAUUACACACACACACAGAGAGAGAGAGGGUAGGAGAGACAGAGAAAGAGUUCAUCCAUCUGCUGAUUCACUCCCCAAAUGGCUGCAGCAGCCAGGGCUGGGCCAAGCCAAAGCCAGAGCCAGGAGCUGCUUCCCAUGUGUUGCAGGAUCCCGAGCAUUUGGGCCAUCUGCUGCUUUCUCAGGCCAUUAGCAGGGAGCUGAAUUGGAAGUGGGGCAGUCAGGACUCGAACCAGUGCCCAUAUGGGCUUCGAGCCUACUCACUCUAAAGCAGAAUAUCCGUAUUCCUGCAGGAACCACCUGCCAGACAGGCGUGUUCUGAGUGAAUCACGGUGACCUCCCUGCCUACGUCUGAUGCCUGUAUGUGGCUGUCGAAGACACGUAUCUGGCUGUUUACCGUCCCCUGGACAUAGCUGGUAGACCAAGAAGAAAUACUGCAGGAAACACGCACUGUUGCUGAAGUCACUCAAACUAUGGUGUUUGGUUCUGGCAGCCCAAACUGACUGGGACAGCAAGGAAAUCGCAGGUGGUACCACCCACCAAUGGGAACGAGCACGGGGCCAGUUCUGAUGCACGGGUGGCCACUCAAGCCAUGGUUUACGAAGCACCCUUGGUUACGGGCGUCCGGAGUCCUCGUUGUCAGCUCUCCCUUCAGGUGAGGAAACAGGUGUGAGGAGGAGUCACUCGGGCUGUUAGGCUGGCAGGGAGGGCCACCCAGGUCAGAAACUCACCAGCAUGCCACGUCUGGCUUUGGAAACCAGGGCUGCUUCUCCAGGGGCUGCUGAACCCAGAGCAGGUGCCUUUAGGGCACACAGAUCCACAGUGCAGGGCCACUGCCCAGAGGACUUUUUGCUCCUGGCCCUGAGAAAAACUGAGUGUGGAACAGCAGAAGCCCUGGGAGGAGUGGGCCAUGAACCAUUUCCCCGAGGGAACCCCUAGGGCUCCCUCUUAUGGUUAUUACAUGAACUGCUGCCCCAGACGCAGACCUCCAAGAGCAAGUGCCAGGGGCUGAGCACCCACCCUGAGUCAGGGACUCAUUAACCCUCCGCCCGUCAGCCUGCGAGCUGGGUGGACAUUCUGUCUGCGCUGGAGAUUAGAGAACAGGGAUGCAGUUGGAAUUGAAGCAGGAAGAGUGUUCGUCACUGGGCUUUGAGAUCUGGUCCAGGGAUGGAGCCCCUUGUCUUCCAGAGUCGUCUUCCCACUGUGAAGUGGUUUGUUUUUUUUUGUUUUUUUUUUUUAAGAUUUUUUUUAUUUAUUUGAAAGGCAGAGUUACGGGGCUGCGGGGAGGAUAGGGGGAAUGUUCCAUCUGCCAGUUUGCUCUCCAGACUGAUGCCAGGAGCCUGGAUCUCCAUCCAGGUCUCCCAUGUGGGUGCAGGGACCCAAGCACUUAGGCCAUCCUCUGCUGCUUUCCCAGGCACAUGGGCGGGGAUCUGGAUGGGAAGUGGAGCAGCUGGGACUUGCUGACGCUCAUAUGGGAUGCUGGUGUUGCAGAUAGCAGCUUAACCAAACUGCAACGCCGGCGCACUCACUGAGGUUUUUUUGUUUUGUUUUUUAGAUUUAUUUAUUUAUUUGAAAGGCAGAGUUACAGAGAGGCAGAGAGAAAGAAAGAGAGAGAGGUCUUCCAUCCACUGGUUCACUCCCGAAGUGGCAGCAAUGGCUGGAGCUGGGCUGAUCUGAAGCCAGGAGCUCUUUCCAGGUCUCCCACGCGGGUGCAGGGGCCCAAGGACUUGGGCCAUCUUUGACGGCUUUCCCAGGCCAUAGCAGAGAGCUGGAUCGGAAGUGGAGCAGCUGGGACUUGAACCGGCGCCCAUAUGGGGUGCCAGCACCACAGGCUGGGGCCCCUAACUAAAAGCUUAAUAACGUUUCACAGUCAGCUCUCCCGCUGCACUGGGGAAUUGUUUUUAAAUUAUCAAGGAUGCCCCAGUUUUACAGGUGUAUUCUCAUACAGCAUCUCUCUAAAGCCUCACGCAACCUCGUAUGCCGGCUGUAGUAGGCCUGUCUCCACUUUAAAACCAAGAAAACAGAGGCCCGGGGACAGUAACAGGUCAGACAGAGUAGCGGCCACUGAUGGUAAAUGCCUGCCAUGUGCCGGGCGUCAGUGCUCGCUCUUUGUUACCUUGUUCAAUUCUCCAGCAACACUAGCAGUGCCCCAUUUUGCAGGUGAGGACCCCGAGGGAAAAGCUCCGGGCCUGGCGUGGCCGUCUGGCUCUCACUCAGCACAUGACCCUGAGGCGUGGCGUCUGUCUACCAGUGCUUCACCAUCUGCAGGCAAUGAUCCAGGUGGAAACAGAAAAAGUAGGCCGGUUAGAGCCAAUUCUGAAGACAGGAAAAAAGCAAAGUUGGAAAGAUUACUUGAGGCCCCUGGGGAGGGUGUGCACCCACUGUGUGUGAGAGCGAACUCGGGGUGAGGCCAAGCUCCGGGCCAGCCCGGGACCGAGCCUGGCUGGAAUCCCGCACAGAGUUGCAGUAAGUUCCAGCUGCUUCCCUGUGUGUGUUCCCUGUGCCAGUAGAUGGCUCUCUCCUGGGAGUAACAGCUGGAAUAUUACAGUGUCUGGAGUUGCACUGGCCGAGAUGGUAGUCGUCUGCUUCGUGCAUGUGGCUGAUGAGCCAUGGAAAUACAGGGAAGCGCGGUAGAAGUGUAAAACACGUGAUGGAAGUGUAAAACACGCACCAGGUUUUUAAAGGCACAGUACGCAAAACACUGUAAAAUACCUCAUUAACCAUUGGAUGUUAAUUACAUGUGGAGAUCAUAGUAUUUUGGAUGUGUUAGGUUUUAAUUAAAAAUUAUUUUUCAGUAUUUAAUUAUACAUAUCUCUGUUUGCAAAAUCCGUAUCUUGGGCAGCUCUGAGCUCGAGCACGGGGUCCCAGUGGAUUUGCUUGUGGCAUAUACAGACGGUCCUUGACUAGGGGCGGUUUAAUGUCCGAGGUUUUCACCCCACAGCGGCUUUAUCAGGAAGGCAGGCAGCAUCUGUCCUGGAAGCAAGGCGCUCCUUGGAGACGACUCGCAAGACAGGCCGGCUUGUCCCACUAUGCGGCGGAGCCUGGAGGUGGUCAGAUGUGUGGUUGGGGACAAAUGACAAUUAAGGUCUGCCCCCCGCCCCCGCCCCAGAUGGGAGAACUGAAAAGUUCCUGUGGCUGAUGACAGGGAAGCAGAGGAGUAGUGUGCUUUAUUUAUUUAUUGAAAAUGAUUUGUUCGAGAGGCAGAGAGACAGAGACAAAUGCACAAAUGCAUGCACUGGCUGGCUUGGACCGGGCUGAAGCCAGGGCCCCCUGCCGCUUCUCUUCCCCUUCCCUUGGCUAGCUCUCCGGGUGGUUAAGCUGUCCUUUACAUAGAUCGCCCAUGACCCUCUAAAUAGGAGUCAGUCCCCUGCCCCAUCAAACCUCUCAGUCCAGUGUUUCUUCCCUGUGGGACUGACGACGUGUGCUAACACCUUCCUGUGCAUCGGUGUGUGUUUAAUGUCCAUCUUCCCCACCAAGAUGAUGCCACCAUGGGACAGGGGUCACAUCUGUCUCCUCAUGGCUGUGUCCCAGGGGCCAGCAGUAAGCCCUCUGCAGGGUUUGUUGGUGAUUUCUUGUAGUUCGGGGACAAGUCCUACCUGCCUGCACCUGUUCUGGGCUGGGCACGUGGUAGGUCUCAUCCUCAGUGCAUCACAACCCUAGAGGGAGCCACACUGCCACACCUUGGUUGCAGGGCAGGUCACCAGCUUGGGAGAAGAAGCUACUGGCCCAGAGUCCCCCUGGGGGCGAAUGCCCACGCAGGAUCUCUGUGCUGUGCCUCAGUUUUCCGCUCUGCACAGUGAGACUGUGUCCUCCUCUAGAAUGUCUGCAGCCUUAUGCCAUGGGUGUGCUUGCCAAAUUCCCAUUUCGGUAGAUUUAAAAAGUCACUUGUAGAUAAACCAUGGGGAAUACUGAGCUGGAUGCGUGGGUCUGGUGCACAUCCUUGAAUUCUAGAGAUUCCAUUCCGAUGUCUCUGGCAGACACAUCAAUGCCAUAUUCUGGGAGGAAUGGGAGACCAUGGCUCAGACCAUGGUACAGAACACUGAACAUGUUGAAUAAUUAUUUUUAAUUAAUUGAUUUGAAAGGCAGAGAGAGAUGGACCAACAAGAAGUUCCUGUUCGUUGGUUCAUCCCUCAAAAGUGGGCAACAGCUGGGGCUUGGGCCAGGAACCCAGUCUGGGUCUUCCAUGUGGGUGGCAGAGACUCAAGCACUUGAACCAUCACCUGCCGCCUCCCAGGGUGCGCGUUGGAACUGGGAGUGGAACUGGGACUUGGAACCAGGCUCUCCCAUGUGUGUGAGGCAGGCAUCCCGAGCAGUGUCUGAUUAACUGUUAGGACAAUGCCUCUGACUAUUUUCUUUUUUAAAGAUUUUUUAAUUUAUUUAUUUGAAAGUCAGAGUUACACAGAGAGAGGAGAGGCAGAGAGAGAGAGAGAGAGAGAGGUCUUUCAUCUGCUGGUUCACUCCCCAAUUGGCCACAAUGGCCAGAGCUGCGCAGAUCCGAAGCUAGGAGCCAGGAGCUUUUUAAGGGUCUCCCACGUGGGUGCAGGGACCCACAGACUUGGGCCAUGUUUACUGCUUUCCCAGGCCAUAGCAGAGAGCUGGAUUGGAAGAGGAGCAGCCAGGACUAGAACGGCACCCAUAUGGGAUGCUGGUGGUUCAGGCCAGGGCGUUAACGCGCUGCGUCACAGCGCUAGCCUCGACCUCUGACUAUUUUCAACAUCUUAUAAAAUGAAUGGUUGUUCUGGAGGGCAGGGAAUGGAUUUCUCAGCCUGGAAUGCAAACCAGGAGAGGAACGGAGGCCUGGAAGCUCCCAUUGGCCCUGUGCCCUCUGUGAACCUAGGGCAGGGAGUCUGGUCUUCAUAGGGGGUGCAGCUGCAAGAUAGAAGUUGGGUGGGUUGAGAGUUCUGUCCGAGAUCCAUACAGAGCAGUCCACCUAAAGGGCAGGCUUUCAGUGGGUGAGCUGAGAACCACACCCGCACAGAGGGGAGUUGUGUGACACCUGCAUUGGCCUUGACCUCAGGGAGAAGACACACAAAAAAAUUUCCCCAACUCCAAACCUGGAUCCAUGAGUGUUAACAGGAGUUGGGAUUUACACAAUCUGUGUAGCCCCAGUCCAAACACUCGGGCAAACAAGUGAAGCAGAAUUGGCCCCAAGUUGGUGGUGCCCCAGGACACAGGUUGGAGGAGAGGUGAGCUCCGUGAGAGCAGGGCACUUGAAAGGUAGCCCCCCUGGGGCCGGCCUUGUAGCGUAGCGGGUAAAGCCACCGCUUGCAGUGCUGGCAUCCCAUAUGGGUGCCGGUUCGAGUCCUGGCUUCUCCACCUCCCAUCCAGCUCUCUGUUAUGGCCUGAGAAAGCAGUAGAAGAUGACUCAAAUACUUGGGCCCCUGCACCCGUGUAGGAGAACUGGAAGAAGCUCCUGGUUCUUGGCUUCAAACUGGCCCAGUUUUGGCCAUUGCAGCCAUGUGGAGAGUGAACCAGCGGAUGGAAAACUCUCCCCCUCUGCCUCUCUGUAACUCUGCCUUUCAAACAAACAAACAAACAAAAAAAGCAUACUGUUUAGAAAUUUUGAUGGUGGGGCCAGUGCCGUGGCUCACUUGGUUAAUCCUGUGCCUGUGGCACCGGCAUCGCAUAUGGGCGCUGGGUUCUAAUCCUAGUUGCUCCUCUUCCAGUCCAGCUCUCUGCUGUGGCCCAGGACGGCAGUGGAGGAUAGCCCAAGUGCUUGGGCCCCUGAACCCGCGUGGGAGACCAGGAGGAAGUACCUGGCUCCUGGCCUCGGAUCGGCGUAGCUCCGGCCGUUGUGGCCAUUUUGGGGGUGAACCAACAGAAGGAAGACCUUUCUCUCUGUUUCUCUCUCUCUCUCUCAUUGUCUAACUCUAUCUGUCAAAUAAAUAAAUUAAAAAAAAAAAAAGAAAAAAUUUUGAUGGUACAUUCCAGAGGGGAAACACCGGCUAAGUAUUAUCAGUGAUAUUUUCUGGAGUAUAGGAAUAGUGUAGCAGUUGAUGACAUGGGACAGCUAUUAAAAAAAAAAAAUUAGCACUGUUUCAUUUUAUGCAUACAUUACUUAGAAAAAAUAUAAAUAAAUAAUAAAAAUUAAAAUUAAUUGAAAUAAAAAUUAAUAAAAUGUAGAAAUCCCCAGCACACUACUCCUGCCCACAUCCCCGCCCAGACAAAGCAUAAGAACUAACCUUUGCGAGUUGCAUAGGUCAGAGAGCCGUUUUUGUCUCUGUUCUGAUGUUUAUCUGAAUUAAACCCGUUUGGUGCUCUCCCUGAACUCUGACUCAUUCUUGGGGAGGUGCUAGUAUUUGUGACCCCAGAGGCUUCUGGAUCCUUCCUGCUCAUGUGGAGGACUUUGUGGUCCUCUUCUCCCUCCGGAGUCCUCCGCCUCUGGCAGUUCCCAUGGCCAGAGAUGGAGCACUCACUCCAUAGCGGAGAGCGGGCGUAGUGUUCUGGUUCACAGCGCUGGGGUUUGACAGCUGUGAGAGGCUUGGUUGGGGUGAGGGCUCUGGUCGGCAGCAGGUCCUCCAGGGCUCCUGGAAACGGAACUUUCCCAUUGAGUUUACCGCAGGGGAAGCUGGGUUUGAGCUGAUCGCACCAUUUAUUUACAGAUUUUCUUGACCACAGGCACGUAACUGCUUUACUAAAGCUUCUGCGUUCUCAUUAACAGAAUGUUAAUAUCUGUCAGAUAAAGGACGCAGAACAGGAAGGAGACAGAAUACAAACUCGCAGCCAGGCAGAAUUAAAGCAUCAAAGAAAGUAAACUACAGAGGUCGACCAACUGCCUGCGUGCACACAGACCGAACCCGUGGCAGAGGCCCAGAGCCCAGGGGCUGGGCUUCUCUGUAUCUUAGGUGGGCUAGCGGUGGGGCGCAGUAGGCAGAGGUAAGCUUCUUGGACAGGUUCUUCAAGUUUGGCUGCUGGCUUCCAAACCUGGAGAAGAAUGCAGGGUGUGGGGUGGAGAAUGAUGGGGUCUAAGACUGAGUUGAGAUUUCAGUGCAAGGGCUAUAUUCUGAUUUUAUCUGUCUUUUGGGCCAUGAGCUAGAAUGGCUGAGGCUUACGUCCUUGUUCCAUCAAUAUCUUCUUAAAAUUUUAAUGAAGAUUACAUGGGACAGUGUGUGUUAUGACGAAUGUAGUGUACCUAUCUGGAAUGGCCAGUAUAUUAGCUAUGAGCAAUGUCAUUUUUUUAAAAAGACUUUUUUUAUUCAUAUGAGAGACAGAGAUACAGACAAAAAAAGGGAGAGACAGAGAGAUCUUCCAUCCACUGGUUCACUCCCCAAAUGGCCGCAACGGCUGGAGCUUGGCUGAUCUGAAGCCAGGAACUUCUCCCAGGACUCCCAGGGGCACAAGCAUCUGGGCCAUCCUCCACUGCCUUCCCAGGCCAUAAGCAGAGAUAUAGGUUGGAAGAGGAGUGGCUGGGACAUGAACGGGCGCCCACUGGGAUACUGCCAAAGGCAGAGGCUUAGCUCAGUAUGCCACAGUGCGGGCCCCUCAGCGGUAUCAUUUUUAAGAAUGGUGUUGAUCAUAUGUAGAUUACCUCUCUCUCUCUCUAUAUAUAUAUAUCUAUCUAUAUCUAUCUAUCUAUCUAUCUAUCUAUAUCUAUCUAUCUAUCUAUCUAUCUAUCUAUCUAUCUAUCUAUCCACAGGUAGCAUAUGUGGCAUGGAAGAUAAUGUAGUAUAAUAGUUAACUAGUGGGCUGGGAGUUCAGCUGGGGGCUCGGUUACUGACCUUCUAUUGAUUCAGAGUGAGCGAACCUGGGUAAGGCGCUCGAGGCAUUGCUUGCAUCUUGCAUCAGCUGUGUUUAGGAUGGCCUGCUCAAAGCUCACCUGCUCAGAUUUUUAAAAAUUUGAUUAAUAGAAUUUGAAAGGUAGCUGGCAUCUUAGAGCCAUAUGAAUAACAUGUACUGGGUAGUAAUGUCCAUUAUACUCAUAUAUAAAGAGUUCUUACAUAUCAAUAAGAAAAAGGUAGCUAAGUAGAAAACUGGGCAAGGGGGUAAGUAAGAAGAAAUAAAACAAAAUGAUAUCUAUUUGAAAAUGCUUCCACACUGGCAUAUUCAAAUCAAUAGAAAUAAAAAGUGAUAUAACAGGUUGUUUCUGGUAUAGAGCAAACAGACUUAUAUUGGUGUAUUUGUUAUUUUUAUUUUAACUAACCAUAGAUUCACAUGGAGUUAAAUGAGGGAUCUUCAGAAAUUCCAUGGAAAAUGUGUAUUAUAAAAAACUAUGCGUAUUUCAAAAAAAAAUUUUACACCAAAAUAAAUGUAUGUUUUAACUCCAUUUCCCAUGAACUUUUUGAAGUACCCUCCUAGCUAUAACAUCAUAGUCUUGUGCUAUCAGCAUUUUACCUGUUCAGUGAGGGGUAGGACCUUGGUCUCCCUUUCCCUGCUUAUUAUUGCCUUACACAGUUCUUCUGUGUACAGUUAGAACCACAUCCAAGGAUGUUGUAAUCUUGUUUCAGUGAGCAAACAUCUUAGGAAAUUCAAGAGGGGAGAAAAAUGUUUUUAUCCAUAUUUUUACAUUAUCUCUUUUUCUUUCUUCCUUCUUAAUGCCUCGAGUUUCUGUCUUUAUAUUUCCCUUUCUUUUUAGAGUAUUUGCUUUCGCCAUUCUUUUAGAGUAGGUCUGCUGUGACAAAUUCUCCUAAUUUUCCUUCAUUUAAAAAUGUCUUGAUUUCAGCACUUGAAAAACAUGCCACUUUUUUCUGGUCCCUAUGGUUUUAAUGAGAAAUCUGCUAUUCUUUUUCCAUUGGUAAGGUAUGAUGUCUCUCAUACUGCAUACAAGAUUUUUUCUUUCCUUUUUGUUUCAGAAGAGGCAGAGCUGGGGAUCAGUGCCGUGGCAUAGCGGGUAAAGCCGCCACCUGUGACGCAUGCAUCCCACAUGGGCGCUGGUUCGAAUCCUAGCUGCUCCACUUCCACUCCAGCUCCCUGCUAAUGCACCUAGGAAAGCAGCAGAAGAUGGCCCAGGUACUUGGGCCCCUGCCACCUAUGUAGGAGACCUGGAUGAAGUUCCUGGGUCCCGGCUUCAGCCUGGCCCCACUGUAGCCAUUUGGGGAGUGAACCAGUAAAUGGAACACCUCUCUCUCUCUCUCUAUCUAUCUAUCUAGAUAUGUAUGUAUAUCUUCAUAUAUAUAUAAAUACAUAUCUUCCUCUGUGUGUAAUUACUUUCAAAAGUAAAUCUUUAAAAAAAAAAUAAGAUGCAGCUGGGAAUUGAACUGGUACUCAUAUGGGAUGCUGGUGUUGUAGGUUGUGGCUUAACCUAUUUUGCCAUAAAGCCGGCCCCUGGGCUUUUUCUAAAAAUUGUUAAUAUUUUUUACCUAGUUGAAAGGAAGAGAGGGGGAGGAGAGGGAGAGGAGAGAGAUAUAGAGAGAGGGAUCAAUUUUCCAUUGGCUGGUUCACUCCCCAAAUGCCCACAACAGCCGAUGCUGGGCCAGGCUGAAGCCAGGAGCCUGAAAUUCAAUCCAGGUCUCCCAGGUGGGUGCCAUGAACCCAAGCACUUGAACCGUUGGCCACUGCCUCCCAGCAAGGACCUCAGCAGGGAGCUGGAAUGGAGAGUGGAGCCAGGACUCCAACCCAGGGUUCUGAUGUGGGAUGCAGACGUCCUAAGCAGCAUCUUAACUACGGUGCCACACCUACACUUUUUAAUGCCGAUAAAAGACUAUAGAAAAGGAGUGUCUACAGCCGAAUGUGACACAGAGUGGGAUGGGUCUGCCUGAGAAGUCAUGUAUGUAGGGAAGAAUGAGCUGGCGGAGCUCACGGUGCCAUUUGAGGGGACAGUGGUCAGGAAAGCAGUCAUUUUCUGCUAGAACCCUGCAGAGUGCACUCAGUCAGUAACUCUGUGGCCUGUGUUCCAGCUUUUCGCAAUGUGCUCAAGCAGCACUCUUUAGAUUCUGUACAAGUUUCUCACCUUGCUCAGAACUUGAAGAGAGGAGGGGUGUGAUUAUUUGGCACCCAAAGAUCCCCAGCAGCUACUGGGGUCUGCAUCCAAGAGAGGGGGAGGGGGCACCAAGGACCGGCACAUGCGUAGCAAGUCCAGUGUUGACAUUUGGUCAGAGCACAGAGGUGCUGCCAUCCUGGUUGUCUCUGGCCAGCAUCCAUUUGUUAAGUAGCUCGAACAUCAUCUCUGAGAAAAGGUGGACUCUGUAGGGUUGUAGAGAGUACUGUGAUGGGUAGCCAGGAGUUCUUCUCCACAAGGCAAUAGCCCAGGGCUCCAAGGAUGCUAUACGUAUGCAAUGACCUAGGUCCCCUGAAAACUGCAGGGUCUGGCUCUUCAGGUCUGGGGCACGCACAGGAUUCUGCUUAUCUAACAAGUCCCUAGGAGAUAAAAUACUUUGGGCCACAGACCUUAUGAUAGUAGCCAAGAUUCAGAAAAGAACAGGGGUUCUCAAUCUUAGCUGGGCACUAGAAUCAUGGUGGGGGGUGGUAUUUGCAGAAAACUCGGGGCAGUUGCAUUUUAUUGAUCUGCAGUGGGGAUAUUUUAAAAACUGCUCUGUGAUUCUACAAACUGAUAGGAUUGAUAAAUGCCGAUUCAGAAUGUCUAAGAAUCAUAAUUGUUACUUGUUUAUGAGAGAUAAAUGUGGUUGAAGGAUUAAUACCUAUGUGAACAAAGCAUUAUGGUCAAUCUAAUUAUCUAUGUACUGAAAAAAAAAAAAACAAACCGUGGACUAGUACCAUUUCCCAUUUGCACCUCUGUACCUCCUGCUAGUACGUGAGAUGCCUGCUGAUAAAAGCACCUUCCAUGCUAACCACUGUCCAGGUGCAGAUACCACUACCCUUGUACAGAGCUUAGAACUGGCCCCGCUUGAUGGAUUGUGGUUGCUUUGAGCUGUGUGCAGGAGGAAGGAAGGAAGGAUAUGUGUGUGUGUGUGUGUAUGCACCAGAGAUAAACACUCACCGCAUUGUGUUAGAUUACAGGGUUGGUGCUUGCCACACUUUUUACAGAAGGUCCACAGCAUUUUAGGAAUAUACGCCAUGUUUGCUGCUGCUCUGUUGGCACAGACAACUGAUGGUUAUUCCUUGAAAACGUGAACAUGACAUCAUGUACAUAUAAAGUUGUACAGUUUCCUCUAUAGAAAGUUCUUGCUCAUUUUUAUUAUGUUAAUACCUGGAUACUUCAUAUUUGUUGAUGCAAUUAUAAAAUAAAUCUUAUUUUUAAAAAUUACAUUUUAAAUGUUUGUUCUAUAGAAAUACAACCUAACCAAGUGAACAUUUGCAUAUCAUGACAUUUUCAUUCAGCAAUAUUUUCUGUAAGUUUUUUCUUGGAGUUGGGGGGAGAGAGAGAUCCAGCUAGAGCUCUGAUCCACUGGGUCACUUCCCAGAUGCCUGUAAUGGCCAGGGCCAGGGCCAGAGCUGGGAUCCAGGAGUCUAUCCCAGGCUCCCACGUGGGUGACAGGAAUCCAGUCACUUGAGUCCUCACUGCUGCUUCUCAGAAUCUGUGUUAACAGGAAGCUGGAGUCCGGAGUCAGAGCCCAGGACUGAACCCAGGAACACUGAUGGGGGACAUGGACAUCACUGGUGUUUUAACCACUAGACUGCAUGGCCACCACUCACUCAAUAACCCUAAUAAAUGUUCUUGCUACUUGAAUAUUUUGUCUAUAGGUUCUUCUGUAUCUUCUAUAGUAUGUGGGAUUCCUUCAUCCUGUUUUGCAUAGUUGUAGGUCAUUCAUUCUCAUUGCUGUCAUGUACAGUGUUGUGUGAGUAUCCCAGAAUCCAUUUAUUUAUCCUGCCAUUGAUGGACGUUUGGAUGGUUUCCAGGAGCCGAUGAUGAAUGGAGCUGCAAUGUCUUUUGUGAAAUGUACGUAUUUGUGUUGGAUAUGCACUUCAGAGCAGAACCGAUAAGCCGUAGGCUGUGCAGAUGUUCCUCUGCAGUAGAUAAUACGUGAUUUUCCAAAGUGGCUGCAUGAACUUACAGUCCAAGAACGGGAGAGUUUCACUCGUUCCACAUGCAUGCUGAAUUCUAUCAAAAUUUUCCUGCAUCAGUGAAGACGAUCUUGUAAUCGUCUGGUAUUUUCCCACUAACCUUCUAACAUGGUGAAUUAGAAUGAUAGAUUUUUCUAAUGAAGUUAAUCUUUCAUUCCUGAGAUAAAGCCAAACUGAUCAAGAUGCACAUUUUUGAAUGCUGAUUGGUUCAGUGUGUUCCAGUUUUGUUCAGGGCUUUUACCUCUGUCUGUUUCAAUGAGUUUGGCCUGUAUUUUCUUUUUUGGUAAUGACCCUGACCUCCUAAAGGUUAUGAAAGCUAAGAUUAACUCUUUGCACUCUCCAUCCCUAACACUCUUUGAUUCCCGGAAUAUCCCACUUUGGAAAACUGCAGAUUUGUCCUCUUCCCUGUAGAGAUGAGAGAUGCUUAGCCCAGGCACUCCCUAGGCAGAAGAACAUGGUGCGACUCCUCCAUCCAUCCUCACAGGGACCUUUGAGGAUGUGUGCAAGUGUACCAGCGUCCCCAAGUGAGCUGAGACCUCACACUGUCACAAGAAAGGGAUGAUAAAAGCAAGCUUGCAGGGGUGAAUGUGCAGAACCCUAGUUCGUGAGCCUGAGCCCUGCUCUGCAGUCUAAAACUCUCCCCAGUGCCUGCCCCCCCCCCCCACCCCUGCCCGGCGCUGAGUUUGCUGCUGGGAGCUCCUGUAGCUCCGCCCCCGCUAGCCCUGGUGCUGGUUGCAUGACAGUGAGCUCCUGGUCUACAGCUUCCAAACGCCCCCUCUUCCCUCCCUGCUUGCACUAACCACACCGCCCCGACACAGGAAACCGGUGAAAAGCAGAACUCACGUCUCCUCAGCCAGCAACGCAGACAUUCUUCAGUUUUGCAUCUUUAGGAGAACUUCUUCCAGAGCAGCGCCCCUGAGAGUUUAACAGGGAGUGGGGUAUGUGCAUGGUCUCAAAGUCUCUUUCCACAAAGGACCUACUAGUUGCAAACGGAAGAACAGUAACUCUAGCACUGGCAGGCAUCCUAACCAAGCAGACAAGGUUAACGUCGCAGGCACAGGGCCUAACCGAUCAUGUGUUCUCUGAGGCGAAAACACCACUUCUAUGGUGUUUCUCCAAAGUUCUGAACCUAUUCCCAAGGCAACAUCAGACCCUCACAGACUGAAGGGCGUUCUGUGAAAGAUCUGGCCUGAUCAAAGGCAAAUAAAGGCACUUAAUGAAAUGGAAGACGUGAGCUUGCGUCAGACCUUAGACCAAGAAACCAAAAAUGCUCUAUGGAACACUACUAAAGCAACUAGUGAGCUUGUAGAAUGGACUUACUAAGGUAAUACUAUUACUUCAGUGUUAAAUGUCUUGAUUGUGAUUACAGUACAGGUUAUGUAAGAGAAUACCCUUGUUUUGGGGAUAUUCCCACUGAAGCAUUUAGUUCAAAAAUGCAGGUGUGUAGAUGUCACAUACAGAGAAAAUGGUAGUGUCAAAAUGUUAACACUUGGUGAAGCCAGGAGAAGAAUGUAACAGGGCUCUUUCUAUGUUCCUGCAGUGUUUCUUUUCUGUUAUUCCAAAAUAACAAGUUUAAAAAGAACAGGUGUACUUCUAGCCCUUGGGAAACCACAGAGGUGGAAUAAUAAGGGCCAUGCUGGGGGCUUGGAAUAUGAAGGGCAGUUAGAGCAUAGUUGAUUUUAGAGUUCUCGGGAGGAAAUGUGUUAUCUCCUUAACAAACCCUUUAGUUGGAGACCACCAGCCCCUUGUUUCAGUCUCUGCCCUGUGCCUUCUGGGCAUGUCCACAUGCGUCCAUGCAUGGCAGAGAGACAGUUACAGCCUAGGCACAACCUUAGUCUCUUUUCUGAUCUUGAGGAUUUCUCUGGGUUUCCACCUAGUUUUCACAAUGAUGUUUUUACCUUUCAUUAUUUGUCAUUCCUCAAAAGACUGUCACCUCCUGGGAUUCCUGUGAAGAAAAGUGCCAUGGUUGCUAAGUUUCUUAAGGGUGGGGAAUCAUAAAACUUCAGCUUUUUUUUUUUAAUGUCUUCUAAUAGGGAAAGCAAUGCUGAAAAUGUGCUGUGCGCUUAAUAGGUGUUGGUAGCCUUAAGAGGGGCAGGCGAGGCGUUAGUCAAAGGUAAAUUCUGUGAAUAAAUGAAGCUUAAGAGAUCUAAUCAGUUUUUCUUGCACACAAAGUGGCAUAAAUUUCCUGAAAUACAACUGAAAAUACAAAUCCGCUGUUAACUGUGUGUUUCUCCAUCUUCAACCCUUCAAAGCAAUAGUGUGGUUAUACUUUUGAUGGUAGGCAGGCAACAAUCCUGACAACACUUAGAGAGGAAAUAAACAGUAGAAAUAAAAAGUAUUUAUUGCAAUUUUGGCAAUCUAUGCAUAAUCGUUUUUGUAUCUAUUAUAUAGAUAGUAAGACUUUUCUGAUACACUAGUUUUACGAUGAAAAACACCUAAAUUUUUACUAGACUCCAGCUUCUUGUUUAGCAUUUUUAUUUAUUUGUUUAUUUGAGAGAGGCAAAGGUAGACAGGGAGAUGAUACAUAAAGACAGACAGAGGGGUCUCCCAUCCACUUGUUCGCUUGCCAAGUGCCUGCAACAGCUGUGGCUGGGCCAGGCUGACGCCAAGAGAUGGGAGCUCCACCUGGGUCUCCCACGUGGGUAGCAGGGCCCCGUCUCCCAGGGUCUGCAUCAGCAGAUGCACGCUGCUUCCACGAAGCUGCAGCUGGCAGGGGAGCCAAGACGCGAGCACAGGCGCUGUCAUAGAAACGUGGGCGCCAUAACCGGCAGCUUCCUCGCUAGGCCAAAUGCCGGACCCAAACUCGGGCUUUUUUCUACCACCUUUUGUUAAGCAAAUGCUUUCUUUCUUAAAGAUUUACUGAGAGUGGCCGGCGCCUCAGCUCACUAGGCUAAUCCUCCACCUUGCGGCGCUGGCACACCGGGUUCUAGACCCGGUCGGGGCGGCGGAUUCUGUUCCGGUUGCCCCUCUUCCAGGCCAGCUCUCUGCUGUGGCCAGGGAGUGCAGUGGAGGAUGGCGCAAGUGCUUGGGCCCUGCACCCCAUGGAGACCAGGAGAAGCACCUGGCUCCUGCCAUCGGAUCAGCGCGGUGCACCGGCCACAGCGCGCUGGCCGCGGCGGCCAUUGGAGGGUGAAUCAAUGGCAAAGGAAGACCUUUCUCUCUGUCUCUUUCUCUCUCUCUCACUGUCCACUCUGCCUGUCAAAAAAAAAAAAAAAAAAAUUUACUGAGAGUGUCAAACCUCAGCUCCCCUCCCCAACCACCAACCACCUGCAUUCCCAUGACACAGCCCCACUCCAAACUGCUUUUCCAGACUGCCGGGUGUGCCUUCAUCCAGUCAAGGUGACACCUAAGGUUAACCAUCACAGUGCAGGAAGGGUCACCCACAGAUGUCAAGUCUCACCCCCUUGCAGGUGUGAUUAAGUCAAGAGUCUCUGGGUGGGGGAGUUGUCAGGGAUUAUCCCGGUGGAUCUAAACGCAAUCACAAAUGCCCUAGUGAAUUAAAGGCAGUGGGAGGUCUGGCGUGGGCACCAGGGAAGGGGAGUGCUGGAAUGCGCAGAUGCUAGAAUGAUGUGGCCACAACCCCAGGAUGGCAGAAGCAUCCGCCGAGAGCUGGAAGGCUUUUCCCCGAGAGCCUCCCAAGGGAGGGCCGUCCUGGUGGAUUACAGCUGUUUGGCUCUGAACCAUGAGAGGAUAAAUUUUUGUUGUUUGAAGUCAUUGAAUUUGUGGCCAUUUGUUCCAGUAGCCUUGGGAAACCAAUACACAGGGCAAGGGCAGAUGGGUGUUCAGUCCUGUAGGGACCCACACAGCCCUCUCAUCCGUCCUGGGAACCCCAGAAAGAGGGUCGCCCUCAGUCCUGGAUGCGUAGUUCUGUUCACUCACCCUUAACCCAACUCCCAUGUUCUCUAUUCAAUUAGUCAUUAAGAAGUUGCUGUGUGUCGAGUACGAAAGAACACCAGAUAAAUGCAUCUUAAGGAACUCAGAAGAGACUUCUUUGGAAGUGACUGUUUUGGCUUAGUUGGGGUACCUGGGUUCAAUUUCCUGCGCUGGCCCCUGACUCCAGCUUCCGGCUAACGCAGACUCUGGGAGGUAAAAGUGAUGGUUUAACUGCUUGGGUCCCUGCCACCCCUGUGGAAGACCUGGACUGAGUUCUUGACUCCUGGAUUUGGCUGUGGACUAGCCUUAGCCUUUCAGGCAUUUGGAGAAUGAAUCAGUGAAUGUUAGCUUGUGUGCUCUCUCUCUCUUUCUCUCUUUCUCUCUCUCUCUCUCUCUCUCUCUCACACACACACACACACACACACACAUACACACAAGACUCUUUGGGAUUUAAAUAGGUCCCAGAACCCCCUGCUUUGGCUAAUUUUGGUUCUAACCAAGUCAAGUUGCUUAGCAGAGUUCCCUCCCUAGUGCCCGACUCUGUUGAGUUCAGAAAAUGUGUGCAUGGAAGUCAGUCCACCAUCCCUGGCCUCCUGCCAUCCCACAGUCAAUUACCAUGCACCCCUGUGCUUUAGGUGCUGUCUUCUGGCCCAGCCUGGAUUUGGGGCUCAGGGGAAUUCUGCCUUAGUCCCCUGUGCCUUGCUUAGCUGGGCGGCAGCGGCGAACAUCGCAUCUCCACCUCCACCUCCACAGUCGAUGAGGCAGAUAACACAGUUUCCACUGUGAUGACAUGGAGCAACAGUACCUGAGAGCCCCAAGUUCACCGACAGCUCACCACUGAUACUUGUUUAUCACACACAUCACUCUCGUAAAGGAGCUAGGGGUUCCCCGUAAGAUUCAUCAGAACAUGAAUGAUGUAGUGGGGAGUUACCCAGCUAUGAAUUCAGCCACCAGCAGUUAUUUCUCUCUCUCUGUCUCUUUUUUCUUAAACAAAGCAUUUUAUUUGAAAGGCAGAGUUACAGAGAGAGAGAGAGAGAGAGACAGAGACAGAGACAGAGACAGAGACAGAGAGAUCUUCUACCUGUUGAUUUACUCCCAAAAUGGCUGCAACGGCUAGAGCUGGGUUGGGCAAAGCCAGAAACCAGAAGCUUCAUCUGGGUCUUGCAUGUGGCUGCAGGGGCCCAAGCACUUGGGCCAUCUUCUGUUGCUUCUCCAGGCCAUAGCAGAGAGUGAGAUCAAAAGUGGAGCAGCCAGGACUCAAACCGGCGCCCAUAUGGGAUGCUGGCACUGCAGGGGUGGCUUAACCUGCUGGCACCACAGUGCCAGCCCUGCCAGCAGGUAUUUCUAGGAGAUGAAAUUUUCAGGAAAAAGGAUUGGAUUCAGGGGCCACAAAUCAAGAACUGAGAGGAGCAGAAAGCCAUUCUGCAUUUAUAGCUAAGGUAUAACAGUUGAAUUUGUGGCAUCUGCUAUGUUUGUGUAAAUGCUCCCCGUGAUGUUUGCACCAUGACAAAGUCAUCUAGAGAUGCAUUUCUCAAGACGUAUCCCUGUCAUUAGGCAACACGUUGACUGUGUUUCAGAUAUACCUGUAUAUGUGUACACAUAUGCACAUACAUGUGUAUGUCACAUGAUAUGGAGAGAAAUCAGUGUGUACAUUAUAUAGCUUCCAAAUAAUGAUGAUUUUUUCUUUUUAUUAUUCAUUGUUAAAAAUUGAGGUGUCAUAUGAUAUUUUGAUGCAUAUGUAUGUGUAUAAUUUUCAAAUCAGGGUGAACACAUCCAUCUUCUCAAAUAUUUAUCAUUGAUUUGUGGCAAAACAUUCAGAAUCCUUCUCCUAGCCUUUUUUUUUUUUAAGAUUCAUUUAUUUAUUUGAAAGACAAAGUUGCAGAGAGGGAAAUGCAGAGGGAGAGAGAGAGAGAGACAGAGGUCUUUCAGCUGCGGGGUCACUCCCCAAAUGGGCUCCAAUGGCUGGAGCUGCACCCAUCCAAAGCCAAGAGCCAGGAGCUUCUUCUAGGUUUCCCACAUGGGUGCAGGGGCCCAAGGACCUGGGUCAUCUUCUACUGCUUUCCCAGGCCAUAGCAGACAGCUGGAUCAGAAGUGGAGCAGCUGGGACUCGAACCAGCGCCCAUAUGGGGUGCUGGCACUGCAGGCGGUGGCUUUACCUGCUAUACCACAGUGAUGGCCCUCUCUCCUAGCCUUUUUGAAAUACACAGCACAUUGUUGUUAUCUGUAGUCGUCCUGCUGUGCAACAGAACGCUCAAACUCAUUUCUCCUACCUAACUGUAACUUGGUACCCACUAACCAGCCUCUCCCUUUCUCUCCCUCCUCCCACUUUCUUUGACCUCUGGGGACCACUAUUCUAUUCUCAACUUCAUAAAAUAAAUGCUUUUGGAUUCUGUCUAUGAAGGAGAUCGUGUGAUACUUGUUUUUCUGUACCGGGCUCAUAAUGUCCUCCAGUUUCAUUCAUGUUGUUGCAAACAGUAGGAUUUUAUCCUUUUUAUGGCCAAAUAGUAUUCCGUUGAUGUACCACUUUAUGUUUUUAAAACUGCCUACCUCUUAACGUACAUUAAUGUCAUCAUUCACUAUUAACUAUGAAUAUCAUUGUUGUAGUUGUUUUGUUGUUCAGUCUUCACAAUGAAGAUGUAAAUAAUCCAAGCAGCCUGCUGACAGUAGAAUCGUGGGUUUCCUUGGCCCAGCGCUGUGUCCCAAGGCAAUGUCCUGUGCUUGCGUUCUUCCCGGCUCCCCAGCUGCUGGAGGCCUUCUCCCCACUGUCUACCUGAGGUGGAGGAAGGAUGGGGGAGGCGCCUCUUGCCAGGCGAAGGUGUGUGCAGAGGCGUCGGCAGCGGGUGCUGAGCUGGGGGCAGGGGCUGGGGAGCACUGCCAGGUCCUGGGUUCUGGCUUGACCUAAAGGCUCUACUUAAUUCCUUCUCUCUCCUCCAGGGCUCUGUCUGUCUCCACAGCGCACAGCUUCGGGCUGGGGAAGAGGUGCUGCAGGCAGCUCUUGCCUUUCUGCCUUCCUCAAUGCAUCUCUUCUUAUUUAUUUAUUUAUUUUUUGACAGGCAGAGUGGACAGUGAGAGAGAGAGACAGAGAGAAAGGUCUUCCUUUGCCAUUGGUUCACCCUCCAAUGACCGCCGUGGCAGGCGCGCUGCGGCUG